rnacentral:lncRNA from 1 species
ACAUGCCUAUGUUCCAGGCUCUUAGCACCUUCCUUUCAUUCCUUAUUUCAAGCUAGAGUCUUUUUGACUUACUUAUUGCAUUCGUUAUUUGUUGGCGGCGUAGUAGAGCUAACUGGCAUCUCUUUCAUUCUUUAGUUGUAGCUUCGGUGUUAAUGGAAUUCAAUCGAUUAGUGCUAUAAGGGCUGUUGACCCAAACUCUCCAUAAGGACCAUACCCGCCAAGGCUAAGAGCAAGAAGUCAAAGGAUUUAUACUCAAGCUGUAAAAGAAUGGUUACGCACCGAGCAAGGGAUCCAACUAAGAAGUGAAGUCUGACUAAACUCACUUAUUAAUCUUACCUUCCUAGCUUUUAGUCCCACUGUACUAGCUUUCAAACUAUUAGGAUCGAUUGCUAUCCUGCCUUCCAUCCAAAACCGAAUAGUAUACCUUUCCUGUCUCUUGACCUGUCCCUAUGACCCCUUGCUUGAAGUCUUAGAUGCUAGAGGAACAACAAAGAUACUACAGUAGUGCCCCCACGUACUUAAUCUCAGUGAACUCAACUCAAAACUCAGAAUUCACCCAUGACUAAUCAGAAUAGAACUCAAAAGACAUAGUCCCACUUUCGGAUAAAGAAUUUCACUCCAUAACACCUGCCUUGCAAUCGUAGCUUAAACCAAAGAAUUCGACUAUAAAGUCCGGAUACUAAGGGAAAGUCCGGAUACUAAGAAGGGGGUGGAUCCUAGCUUAUUCACUGUAAACUAAUAAAACCACUAUUUAUUGCCGACCUAUACGCCUAUAGCUGAGGAAGCACCAACCUACUUAUCUUUCUGGUCGACUGGAAUUUAUGAAUGGAAAAACUCAUACGGAAUGAAACUACUUCCCAGAGGAUUGAAUAAUUCCACUAGAAACUAGGAAUAAGGAAGAAAACGAAACCUAUUGACACGCGCGACACAUGAAACAAACACAGUCACUUUGUUAGUAGGCACAAACACACCCACUUACUAGUAGGCACACACAAACCUACCCACGGCAAUUCAUUCAAACAGGAACGAACUGGAAUUGAAGACAAAGAAACUAUACUUGCUGCUUUGCGCCUCUCUCUUUCAACUAACCAACCUCUUCUCUUAGCGCCCCAUAUGCUAAUGUUUGCGCAAUCCAAUAAAGAACAGAAUAAGGAUUUCUCGUUGUUUAAUAAGCACUGAUCUUCUCGAGUAGCAAAUACAGAUUCCAAUCGAACUCUGAAACGGACUUUUGAACCAAUGAUUCUAUUACUGCAGACACCCACAGACACACGCCCACACACGGCCCACAUACAACCACGGAGACACCCGAAGUGACUUAACUCAUACUUAGAAGAAACCAUUAACCUUAGAAUCAACCAUUAACGUUCCAUUGCGCCAAUUCCAUGAAAAAGUAGAGCUGUUUUUUGACCAAUAAACUCUAAGAAAUUACUGGAAAAUAGAAUAUAUGAUAAGAAUAAAUGACCUAUUCCCCUAGUAUCCCUUUCCUGUCUCUAACUCCACCACUGCCUUAUCUCAUCCUGCCUUAGUGCGCGGGGGCAAACGGAUACUUACUGCCUUUAAGGCUUCCUCCCUUACGAUGAAAUAUGACUACAUCUAUCGCUACACUUACUAUGUUACUUGGCUGAGUGUCUUGUCUUGUAGUUCCUUGGCGCGUAACACAUGGGUGAGACUACCAAUACCAACUACCCUUAAAGAACCAUACCAGAGAUUCUUUAUUGAAUAGUUCCCCGCCUUAAAGUAUUGAGGUUGGCGCAUCCUUAAACUCCAUAUUUGCUUUCUGUAACUCCCGGAGUCGGAUCCAACUUACACCGCUACCCAUAAGAAUGGAGCUCUAGUAAUAACAAGAAGCAAACCGGUACACAUGAAUUCCACUAAGUACUAGCGAGGAUCAAACCAAUACCCAUAAGGAUUGACUCCUGGGGAAGGUACUAGAACACCGGAAUAAGUAAUCAAACUAAUAAUAGGAAGCAUUGACUUGCUCAUAACAGGAGCAAGUCCUGUUUUGUUACCUUAUUCUAUAAGUUGUCAGUUGUGCACUCAAUGAUAUGAUUUGGGCACUGAACACUCCCUUUACCCUCUGCCUCCGUCCUUUUCUAGUAUGAGGUUAUCUUAUGCUGAUAAGUAUUCUUUUCUUAAAGCAAGGGAGGAAACAUCAUUCUUAUUUAUUACCCUUUUCUUAAAGCAAGGAGUUAUCUCACUUAGCCUAGAAGGUAAUGCUGCGGAUGAAAGAGGUAGCCAAGCCCCUGAUUCCGACUAUUUAUUCGAACUCUCUAACUCUCUCACGCUUUAGUAACUCUUUCUCCUCUCCUAACAACGCGCCGAGUCAAACACUAUCAGAUUGCUUAGUCUCUCUUCUAUAUCAAGCAUUAACCGAGUAGUAGGGCAACAGGAAUGGAACUAGUUUGUGCAGAAGAUAAGAUAAGAUUACUUGUUCUCUCUAUCAAGCAUUAACCUAGCUGUAAAGACUGUUGGUGUUCACCCCAAUGGAAUCUAUAGAGCAUAUUCUAUAAUUGAGUAUUUGACUCCACCACUUGCUUCUUUUUCCGUUGCUUGCUCAUUACCUAUUACUUGCCUUGUUUACUUGUUCCGUAGUUUGUUCCUUUGCUUUAAGAGCAAUUAACUCCCUGACGCUAAAACACAGGACGUCGAACUGGAAACUGGAUACUUUUUGGAAACUGUAUACUUUUGCAAUAUAGUAGGGGCGAUAUACUUGUUCCGGCAAACUCUAACGCUCUAUAGGGUUUCUGUACUAAAAAAAGUAUGGAUAAGGUUCUUUACUUGCUUGACCUUUGCCUGAUUGAGUACUAGGGCAGGUGAUUGGCUUGACGUCGUACGAGAGAGGUGAUUGUGUGAAAGAACUCGUUAACGCGCAAGGCCUGGUUUCGUUAUCGGGGGAGUUGUUCUGUGCAGUGCAUAAUGAGAGUACUUGCUUACGGGGCAUCGCCUGUAUCUGCAGCUGCUGCUUUCGAAAGAAUGGCUCUCGGGUCGUCUUCAUUCGUUGGAUUCUUUCUAUACAUAUGUGUCACUGAUAUUGGAUUUCAAUAGCUAUAUUCAAUGCUAUAUUUGAGUUUUGUAUAGGGUGGUUGUUACUAGAUUCUUUCUAUACAUAUGUGUCACCUGAUAUUGGAUUCUCUUCUGAAGUAUAGUUUCGUAUUUUGGGGUCAUAUUAUUCUCUCUCUUAUAUGAAAUGUGGUUUCAACAAUAUUGGAAUUGGAAAUGGAAUGAAAGGGUAACUAAGCACUCCGCCUACAGCCUUUAAUGGAAUCUAAUCCGCUCUCCUGUCAAUCAAGUAUAAAGAGUGGAGUAUUGUAUUGUAUUAUAAAGAGUUUAGUAUUGUAUUGUAUAGAAAUUGGGUAGUAGUGGGUCAAUAGGGAUCAACAUCUACUACUAUAUUUACCUUUCCUCGGUUGAAACUCUUUCCAGUACCUUUUGUCUGAUUGGAUUCAACUAGGCUGGUUCCUCGGUGAGCUUGAGCCAAUCUUCUCUUACCGGGGUAGAUGUAAGCUCCGAAUUAGUGAUAGUCUCCCUUCGCUCGGUCAAAUUGCAACCAAAACAGGCUUUCUAAAGUAUAGCGUCAUUCUCUGACUUUAGCUCGGUAUUGGGUGAAUCUUUCCUUUUCUUUCUUUCAUUCUUCUUUGUAGUAGGUGAGUGUGACUAAGGGAUGUUCUCCUCGGUAGUAGGUGAGUGUGACUAGCUAGCUUAAGGGAUGUUUUCCUCGAGGACUUCCUUCAUCUUUUCUUUCUAUCAGUUUGUUGAGCUCUAAGCCUAGAAGGAUAUCUUUUCUUUCUAUCAGUUUGUUGAGCUCUAAGCCCAGAAGGAGGAGCUAGUUGCUAGGAGAGCUAGGAUUAAGAGGAGCUUUGUUCCUAGGAGCUCGGAUUCAGAGGAGCUUUGUUCCUAGGAGCUGUUAGCUGGAGAGGAGAAGCAGAGCAGAGGGUCGAUGUGAUAUAGCUCAUUAUAUAGUUAUUGGUGGGAGGGACGAAGAAAGUAAGCAAAGAGAAGAGCGAAAGACUACUCACUAGCCCCCAAAACUCACUCAUUGUCGGGAAACUCAUAACUCGCGUUAGCACUAGCGCACCACUAACUAAUGCACAACAGACAGUUGCCGGGUUGCUUGUUCCCCGAACUUGACUUUACCCCCACUUCUUUCCCUUGCUUGCUGAAUGAAAUAAUAAAUAGACGAGAGUGCCACUCGGCCUUAGUCCGGUGAGUUAAGAGCAACGUCGUCUGCAAGUAGUUCUGUUCCAGUUCCUUCUUCAGCGCUAAGUGGUCCAAAUCGUCAAUGGAAGUGCGGUGCAUACUCGUCUCUUUCAGUUUGAGUUUCAUCGUAUAGCAAGUCCGCAUAAGAAGCCAGGAAAGUCAGAGUUAGAGUUUCCAAGAACUCCCCCCUUGCACUUUCCCUCCCGCUUGUAGCUGACUUAGCGCUUGAAGGUUCCCCUGCGAGAAUCAUCUUUCCCUCACCCGCCUAUACAAAAGGAAUUGAUAUCUCGGAAGUAACACAGGAAUCUUUCGAGCCAACACACACCUUUCUCUUUUGUUCCUAAGCUUGUUCGUCUUGUCCGAACUUACUUCACUUUGAUGCUUGGACGACUACUCGGUUUGUUUGCUGAUCUGAUCUUCUUUCUUUCUACGAUAAGACUACACUUUCUUCGCACUGAUCCCGUAGGCUAUGCUAUCAGAACUCCCAACACUUAGAUCCGGAGGCUAUCUGAACUCCCUUAACUGACAGAGAUGGAGAUGCUUGCCCGAACGUCCCUUACCUGAGACCGGAUAAGUACUUAGUUCGCAUUAUGUUGUUGGGCCAUCAAGUACCUAGCGCCUGAGAAGGCAAUCUGAGUAUAGUACAUAGCUUCAGCAGAAGGAAUUUCUUAUGAUCCUUAUCUUCAAACUCUCACUCCAUUUGAUACAGCAGAUGCGGAUUCAUAUUCUUCUCUAUUUGAUUUGAAUGUUAUUAGAAUUCUUUCUCACUUUAGCACUCUCGCUCGAGGAAAGAAAGAAAGAGAGUGGAUUAAGGGAUAGGCUUUGUGUACUAGCUUGGCAGAGUUAUGUGUCCUCCUCGUAGAGGGAGAGGCCUGUAACCGAUUUCUAAGAAGUGCCCUUUUCCGAACGAUUGAAGUUCUGCAGCAAGCCUUUGACCUUUUAAGGAGGUACGGGCAUGUCUCUUUUGAAAGAAGGAGAGCGGUAUUGUAAAGCCAUGGAGGAAGCUUCCGAGCGGUAUUGUAAAGCCAUGGAGGAAGCUUCCCAGGGUUAAGAUCGGUAUUGUUAUUUGCAUUAAGUAAGUUGUUCACUCACUUGAGACUUAAGCGCGGAGUGGGCAGUUUAGAUUAGCAUUCUCAAAGAGCGGGGAGCUCAUAUAUAAGAAAUACGAUGACAUUCGAAAAGAGAUGGAUUAAUGUUAUAUAUACUAUUCUAUAUACAAUUACACACUCGCUACAAUGGGACCCCUACCCUAACGGAGAUCAAAGCCCUUUUUGCGUAAGCCACAGGGUUGACUAUUUUCUAAGGGAAUCCCUCCCCGAUGGAGGUACCGUAUCGGCAGUUCGUAGGCAUAUUAGCCUAUCAUCUUUCUGGUUCCUUUCUCGCUUGCUGCUGUCAUCUAAUCUUUCUGCUUCUCCGGAUCUUUAUGCAACUGUUGUUAGUGCUUCUGCUUCCUCAUCUGUUCCGUAUCCUGAUCCACUGCUGAUGCUUCUUAUAUCUAUGACUUUCCUCGCACUGAACAAGCGUUAGGUGGGAACUACAAAGAGAUUCUAUCAUGGGACCCAGACAGAUGAAACGGAAACUCGAACUGGCUAUGCAAUGAUUCUUCUUCCGCUAUGGAUCCAGCUUCUUAUUCGUCACCGCUACGUGGGCUUUCUUCUUCUGCUUCAGCAGUUUCUCAUUCCAUUCCACAAGCAAGAGUCAGGGUGAACGCCCACAAGCAAGAGUCAGGGUGAACGUCUACAAGCAAGAGUCAGGGUGAACGGGAAAUUCGAUCUGUAUUUGCAAUAGGGCACAAAGAUAUUAGGCGAAAAUGCCGUAUAAGAGCCGUGCUCGCGUAAGCGCAACAUUCAUUUGGAUUAGAAAGUGAGUAGUAGUAGCUUGGCCCAGGGCGAAAGUAAUCUGCUAGCGGGUAAUCUUCACUGAAAAGAAUGGAUUUGCAUCUAUAUAUGGAGAAGAGCCACAUAUGGAAGCGCAGUAAAGAGACUGAACAAGUCAAGUUUUCGGGAGUCACGGGGGCAUUCGAUUCGAGAGGAGAAUCAACAAUUCUAUAAUUUCCUAUUUCUUGUGCAGAGUAUCUAAAUAAAGCACUUCCUCUUUAACUGAUCCAGAUCCAUCUUUUGAUCCUUAGGUACUGAUCCCGAUCAACCUCUUCUCGCCUCCUUUAUUUAAGAGCAACUCCCUUUCCAGUUAGCGCAGAUCAAUCCUCUGACUCUAGUGACCUUAUUCUAUCUAAUGUCACAGUGAAACAAUCACCUUCUUCUUAUCUUUCGAUGUGGACUUCCCUGGCACAAUAACUCCACUUUAUGAAUAGAAAUUGUAAGUAUAACCCAAAGCAAGGAGACUCGAUAUACUGAAGGAAUAUGCUUAGCGCUGAACAAAAGGAGAAAGCAAAUCACCCAAAGCAAAGGGAAGGGAAAGCCCAUAACUCCACUCACUUAACAAACGUAGCCCUACAGAGAAGUAAAGAACAGGUUGCAACUCUACCUACGCCACUACACUCCAUUAGUGAAAGUCAAAGCUGCUCAUCUUGCAGGCCAAUAAUAGUUAAGUUCCACUCCCUUCCCUGACUCACCUGGCGCAACUCAAACAUAAAUGGAAUCUAUUGCAGUCAACUCAACUCGCCAUUGCCAAAACUAGAUCUGUUCCCAAAGAGACUCUACAGAAGCGAAAACGUGUAGCGGGCAUUCAUUCAAAAGGAGACUUCGGCUUCCGUAGAACACUUUCCUCCCUCACACAGCCUUAUGCUUCUGGUUAUCUAUCACUUGUGGAUUUGAACUAACUAAGGUAAGGCUAGGCUAGGAACUCAAACUCUCAUAGGCGCACCACUCACUCUUAUGCAAUCGAACUCAUCUAUAAGUGCUCUACUUAACCGAACAAGCAAACUCAGUGAAAGUGGAAUAAGAUUGAACAGUGAGCUCCCUUACGUGCCCCAAGAAAAGAAGUAAGCUUACGCGUAACGGCGAGGAAAACAGUCCAAAUCAAUAUUACUGCAUGCUCGAUAUCAAAUAGAUAGGAAUGAAUUGCACUAGCAGAGAGAAAGUCAAUACUUAAAUGGAACCUAUGCCAUUGAAUGCCCUCUUUCUACAAGGAUAUCUAUAUGGACCAAGCGCACCUCUUUCUACACUCCGGAGUUAAUCCCAGAUACAUGGCUUAACAACCACACGCGCGGGCCCGGCUCAACAUUCUUGGAAAAUAAUCGAAUCUCAGAAAGGCUUUUCAAUGACUUGGCCAUUCAAUCUUGUGAACUAAUCGAGACCGAUAUUGGAUAAGGAGAUACGAACGGAGAGGAAUAACCAAUCGAUGAAAGAACAUGAAACCAUUCUGUUUCAAUAGAGGUACGGAAAAGGGUUGGGGGCAAUGAAGUAGGUGAAGUGGUUGGAUUUUGCGAGCUGUUCCAACCACUGCAGGAUGUGAUUCUAAGAGCCGAACAAGAAUGAAUACCACACAGAAGAGUCAAUACCGGGCUCCCUAAUAGAAUGUUUAACCGAUCCAUUCCGGAUCGAUCGAAUUGGUAAAGAAGUUGUAACAUGGGAAAACCACGGAAAACACAACUUAUUUGAAUAACCCGGUGACCUACCAAUUGUAGAAGUAGGAUCUUUGGCAAGCUAUAAGCACUUACAAAAUACAUUUCGAGUGUACCAUCUUCUUUGUCAUGUCGAGGAAAAGGUUCGGGAGGAAAGGGAAACAACAGAGGGAUCCGAAUCAGACCUAAAUGGGAAUGACAUGAAAAGUGUUUUUCGAAACCCAUAAUUAAGGGCAUUACUAAAAUAUAGAAUAGGAAUGAAAGAGCACUCGUGAUUGGUGUUCCGGGGAAGAUCUGCUUAUGAAAUAGUUCAAGAAAGAGUCGUCUCAUUUCCAUACUCACUCGUUCUUUAGAAUACACUUCUUAGGCUGGUUCUGAACGCCGCGGAACGGAAUUAACGGAAUUCUCUUUGUCGCAGCUGCAUUCGUGUUUGUUGCACAAGAUUCUAAUGGAGUCUUCAUUAAUGGUCUCUAAGUCUUUUUCAACAUGUUAGGUUCCCAGAUUGUUUGCAUUUCUCUAUUUGACAAAUAUGGUUAUCGCCUCGUAACUUAAGAUAAGACCAGAGAUGCUAAUUCUAUCAUUGAAAAUACAUUCUCCUUGACUAUUGGUUUGAGUCUACUUACUAGAUACUAUCCUUUUGAUGUCGAGGUCUACUCUAUAGCUCCAUGAUUCUUUUUCCCGAGAGUUAUUAACCCUUUGAAAAGGCUCAUGUAGCAUACUUGCCUAGAAUUAUGAUGGAAAGUCAAAAACCCCCUCUUGGAGAUGUUCCUCAAUUGAUCUGCUUUUUGAUUUGUAGAAUUUCUCUCUGUGACUCGAGUCUAUGUGCACUACCGCUUUUCUCUCAAACUACUGGCUUUUCUUGCUGUUUUCCAUUCGACCCCUUUGGAUUUCCAUCUUAUAUGCAUACACAACCCCAUAGAGUAGCAAUGAUUAACUAUCGCUCUCCCUUUUUGGAACUCUACCUACAACCUUGAUUGUUGCCCUCCUUUUGAUCGUCACUUCUUUUAGUCGGCUAACUCACAUAGGUGAUCCGGAAAGCGCGCUAAGAUAGGUGAAACUCCUACUCCAGCAGGCAGAGUGUUUGAACCCCUAUACUUAAUAUAGAUAGUUGGACUCGUGACAUUUGGAUUUGGUUUUCUUCGUUCUUGCUCUCCUUGUAUUUGCAUCGUUCACCUACUUAAUCUUAUUCCUAGUUUCUGCCCUCCCGACACCGAGACCAAAGGAUUUCUCUCUAUUGUAUUUAUUCGAUCCCAAAGCAUGCAUCUCUAGGGUUGACCCGCCUGGGCUUCCAACAUAACUUCUCCAAGUUUUCAUGAAAUAGUUCACCUUCUAAGCGAAGAAGCUCCUCCUACGAAAAAGUACGGAAGGAUGUUUUCGAUUGGGAAGCAGGCCUUGCGAAGGAAGGGCCGACACAGCCGUAGAUAGAAGGAAAGAGGCAGCGCAUGGAAAGCGGCACUUGGAAUGCUCUCGGCAGGGACCGCGGAACCAACUCAUAGAAGUGCAAAGAGGGGAGAGAUUAGGCAGCCUCACCUUAAUUCUAGCAAGACCAAGGCAAGGCAGAUUCUUUAUCUUCAAAUAAUAUAAAUAAGCAGUGCAGUGAUUUCACCUUCUUUAUCUGAAAUGAAUGAAAAUAAUAUAAAUAAGCAGUGAUUUCACAUUGCCCGCAAAGUGGUUAUUGAAAGUAGUGAUUUCACCUUCCAUAUGUUUCCAAAAAACCAGAGAUUUCUCAUUUAGGAAGUAGACCCAUGUUUUCCACUUACUUCUGCUGUUGACAAAGAAGAUAGAAUAGAAGAUAACGAGGACAGACAAGACAGAGCUAUGAUCAACCUCUUUCUAUAUUGAGAGGACAGACAAGACAGAGCUAUGAUCAACCUCUUUCUAUAUUGAUUUAAAUAGAAUAUUAAGUGAGGACGGAAUUGACUCCACUUGUGGGAGCUGAUAGAGCGCGUAGUCCCGCCCCUGAGUCAUAGCUAGCAACACCACGAAGCUCUUUCUCUUAUCUUUUAUGAAAGUUUCUUAAUGGUGCAAAAACGACCAACCAAGAGGGCGAAAAAGAAGCUGCUGAAUCCAACUACCAAGAAGGCGAAAAAGAAGCUGCUGAAUCCAAAGAGGUUGUAGAUAACAAAGAAAGUAGCACUAUAAAUAAAGCCGGUGGUCCGUCCGUCAAAGAAAAGAGAGAAGAUUCGAGUGAAUGAUCGGGUGUUAAAUGACUAUCAAGUGGCAAGCAGAGAGACGGAAGCCCAUACUCAAGCAUAAGACUAAUUCAUCCCUAGCUGACGUUCGCCUCUAGAUUGCUAAACUCCAGGCCGAGUACAGUUCCUAAAGGAAAAGGCGGGUGCCCAGAAAGAAACCCUGGCCAGGCUAUCAAAAACAAAGCAAGAGCUAUUCGGCGCUGCACAACCUCUGAUUGAUGGCCACAUUUGGUCUAAAGAUGCAAAUGUUACCUUGCGCAUUAGCGAGUUACUUAAAGUCAGCUUACGCUUACUUCUUGGGUUGGGGUGUUUCACGUUGGAGAUGAGUCCUUUUUUCUGCUGUUGAACAAUAGAUAGCUGAGUUGAAGCUUUUGGCCCAUUUCCUUCUAUCUCUGCCUUUCACUUUAUUCUUUUUGCUAUGUCUGGGACCUUUCUUUCCUUCCAUUCUAUUUGCACUUCCUUUUUGGAUAUUUCCUCUGCUCUUAUGAUCAUGUCUUCUCAUUUAUUUGGAUAUGAUGGAAGAGGCUGUGAUUCGGCUUUUGAACUUGGAACAAUUGGCUUUGGUUGUACUUGCUACUGGCCCCUUUUUACAUAGUCUAUGUGUUUCACCGUGGGUUCGGCUUAGAUAUAUGCUACUUCACUUUCCAUUGUGCUAAUCUUGGCCGGAGCUGGACGGAUUCAAUAAGUCUAGGGGAAUCCUGGCCAAACUACUGUCAAUUAAUAGAAGAAUUAGGGUAUUGGGGUUUUUCAACUAAGAUUAUGCCUCGGCGCAAGAGAGAGAUUCCAUUCGACUUCCUCGGUGCAAGACGUCUAUGAGAGAGAGGUGAUUCUUUAGGCAAGGCAAUAAAAUGAUGUUCUUGAAAAAGGGAAUGGACUGUUCGACACUUUACUUACGAUCUAUACCUGCUUCCAUACCUGUUACUUACGAUCUAUACCUGCUUCCAUACCAGGUGCUCGAUAAGAUGGAUUCAAUUCAGUCACUGAUAGGAAAAGGUUGGUGCGAGUGCGAAGCCUGAAGGAGACGAUGAUGAACUUCUGGUCGAGAUCAAGUGCUGUGCGGUAUAAAGGUUAUUAAGACGACGAAGCGGGACAGGAAAGUGGAAUUUCAGUAGAUAAGCCACUUUCUUAGUUUCACAUGGCAAAUGACCUUUAUUGUCUACCGACAAUGCUCCUAUAAUGCUUUUUUGUCUAGAAACAGAAAACUCCUGCUCGGCUCAACACUGGACCGAACCGAACCCUCCUUGAAGUGAAGAACCACAAUCCACUGUAGGAUUGGCCUUCAACUUGGAUUCCUUCUGCCGACCUAACCCCUUAACCUAUACUUCAAGUGAAACACCGCUUACCGCGUAGCCAAUAACGGAUCUUGGAGACAACGCGCUUGCAGCCCGGAACCCUGCUCCUCAGUAUUCUAAAAGAGCUAGAUGAUCUUCUUCAUUGAUAUUUGCUUAGACUAAGUGCAACUCGCUAAUGCUGAAAAUAGGACUUUCAACUAACUAACUAAGAAAGUAAGCUUCAAGCUGGAGGUAAAGUGUAAGCAUUGUCUACGUUUCACAUAGGCAUAGGUUAAACGACUCGAAAUCUUCAAUGAAUUCUUCCGCUGGAGAAGAAACUGUUCGAGUUCAAUAUCCAGCUCGACCUGACUGGAGCCUCGGAUUCCUCUAUCACGUAACUGUAUUUCGCACCCCGCACAAGUUAACAAGCAAGGGUAGAGUUCCCUGACUAUAGCUAAGGGUAGAAUUCCGAUUCUUUCUGGAUGUCUUUCCCCCCUUACCUCUACUUUUGGAAGUGACUUCCUAACGCCGAGCGGAACUAUGGUUGCUUAUUUUGUUCCUAAGCUUGCUGCGUUGCUUGUUCACUUCAUACUCGUAUCUGAGUUUGCUUUCUGCCUUUCAUUCUUUCUCGUUAGUUCUGCUCUCCGAGAUAAUAAGCGAGUUUAUUCCUUAGCGAGUUUCUUCCUUCCUUAGCGAGUUUCUUCCGUUGUGCUAAGGCGAGUUCCAUUUGGAGCCCGGUUCAUUAAUGACUUACCCACUAUAGGCUGAAGGAUGGGUAUGAAUCCAAUAAUGACUUGCCUACUAUAGGCUUCCGGGUAUGAAUCAAAUCUCUCAAGAGCGCUACGCACCUCUGCAACUUCAUUUAAACAUUGGAUGAUGUUAUCUGAAAGCUCUAACUACAUGGAGAUUGGCUAUGCCUCUGUUCAAGUUGGCUGUAGUGAUGCCUAUUCCUUUUGAAGGAAUUGAGUUAACCCUGUACUUGCAGGACUGAAAGGACUAAUUAGGUUAGUGAGUACUCGUCUCGGAAAGAGAGAGGGGGUUUUAUAGGUCGCCAUGUGUGCAUGACAUUCUAACACAUAGGAUAAGUUCAUAUAGAGAUAAUAGAACAUAGGCCUGAUAAGUUCAUAUGGAAGAUGGAUAAUAGAUUGACAUUCCUUUGAAAAGGGAGCCCGCUAAUGGAAUACUGAUCCAGGUCAAUAGUCAAUAAUAAGAUAUUCUAUUUGGUUGGGGUUGUGACAAGUUCUUUUCUCAUUACCUUGAUUGGCUCUAUCAUUUUGUCUUUUGAUACUUCUAAUGUACAUCUUCCAUAUGUAAGUCAAAUAAUGAAUACAAUCAGGAUCUAUUAUAAUGAAACAAACUUCUUUAUCAGAUGUCAUUAAGUAAACUUCUUUUCUUUCUUGUGUGCUAAAGUGAUUUCUUGCUGGCUUUCGAUAGCUAAACGACGAGGCGCUCCCCUUUCUUUAGAGUUAUAGGUUAUCCAAAUGGCUUUUCUUUUUCUCAUAGGUUGAAGCUUACACUUCGGCUGUCGGCAUUGCAUUCCCUUCGGAGAGAUUUUGUGAAGCAGAGAGUUCUCACUGUGCAAGUUGGAUUACUUUACCGAACCUCGCCCUCCUUUCUUUAGACUCGGUCAAGGCAAGGAGUGGUUGGCUGCUCUAUUGAUAGGAAGGGCACUUAUUAAUAUGGAUUAGUGGUAGUAGAUUGAUUGCCUUUUCUAAUAGUAUGAGGCUCUGUAUCCGUGCUGAACUCUUAAGGAAAGAAAGGGUUUAGUUACUUUAUAUGUAAAAGCCUAUUCGCGUAAUGCGUGAGAAGUCUGGCUAGAGUAAGAUAGCAUAUAAGAAAGAGAUGACAAAAACCAAAUAAAGGCAUACGCAAGGGACCUAUGUCAUUAUCAAAUAGCAGAGUAUAGGGCUUCUUACUAAAGACAAAUUUACAUAGAGAGCAUAUGAUUCCAGGCGACGUAUCUUCGCUUUCAUCUUUAUUAUAACACACUUGCAUCACUCCUUAUAAUAUACCACCCAUCUAAAUUACUCUCAUAGGAUGGAAAGAUUCCUACUGCUGCUCACUUCCUUUAUACAGCUGAGUGCUUCCUUUCUUUCUAUUGCUGCUUACUUCCUCUCUAUUCUAUUGCUGCUUACUUCCUCUCUAUUCUAUUGCUGCUUACUUCCUCUCUAUUCUAUUGCUGAGUGCUUCCUUUCUAUUGCUGAGUGCUUAUUCUUUCUCAUUUUAGAACAUCUAAGCUAUUACUAAAGGCUCUGGCUCUGGUUCUGGCUCUGCUCUAUCUGCUUACAGCCAUUUGUUCUUCUUGUUCUUUCGCCGGUAAACUCACUAAUGCUAUUGUUGCUCACUCCUGUAAGCUAACGCACUAUGGUUUCUGGAACUCUACUGAAGUCAAGAAAGAAGCCCCGCUCCCUGCCGGUUCCCUUGCUUGGUAUCUACUGAAGGAAUAUGCUUAGCGCUUCUGGUCGUCAAUGUGCCGCGUACGCUCGUAGCUCAAAGUAGUUUAAAUACGGUUCGGUUGGUUGAAAGAUGGCUGUAGUGAGUAAAGCGAGUGAAGUCAAGUAUAGAGCAGCCGGGCCCCGGGCAUUAACCACAAGAAAGGGUGCCUCAAGCUUCAUUCAAAAAAGGCAACAAGCAGCAAGGGAAUUAGUAGAAUAAGUGAUUUACAAUGCCAAUGCUUCUCUCUGAGUAAGCAGUGUUAGGGGUUCGUUCCUUUCUUUUUCUUAUAUUAUAUCAUGUGCAGCAAGCAAACUCCACUUCUAUUUAAGCUCGCAAGAGGAAGCAAGCAGUCUUUUGUCACUAAAUUCUAUUUCGGUAGCAUUCAAUUCUGCUAUUCAAAAGGGAGUGUAAGUAAACAAAAAAGGAAGAUAAAUUGAGUGUGUGCCUCUGAUAGAAGAAAUAGAAUUGAUUAAAAAACCAGAAGGAAAACUCAGAUAUAUUACUUGUCUUUAAGAACUCAUAUCUAAGCAUGCCCAUCAUACUUAUAUUACUUGUCUUUAAGAACUCAUAUCUAAGCAUACCCAUCAUUUCGAAUAUCGGCACUACCAUGUGUUAAGCAAUGAGAGUUUAGAUGGAAGUGAAGACUUAAGGAGUUGAUAUACCCUUUCUAGCAAGGCCCUAUACUAACUACUUGGAAAGAGGCAAGGCAAAGAGGCGGGGACACCGGUACCGUGUUAUCUAAGUUGAUACUUGUUCCCGCUGGCGAAUGCACCUAUUGUAUAGACUUAUUUACGAACAUCUGACUUCUUUCCAUUAUUGAUUGCGGAUUGCUUACUCCUGGUAUGAGAGCUCGAAUGGGGAUUACUUUAUUAUAGGAGCACAAUGAAAUAACUGCCUAUUACUGGUUUUUUUGUUCCGUGUUGCUGGGAACUCUUUCACUUGUUUGCUUUAAGUAGGAAUUGAGUCUGCCUUUCUUCUCCAUACGAUACUUCUAAAGCUACAACAGUUGGGCGGGGGCUUAGUAAACCAUUCAUGAAAUAAUUAUGUGGUGCACACACAUAUGAUAGAAAUGAUCAACCUCACUGCAAAACAACAAUUGAUAGAAAAAUGGAACUCAACUGCGAAACUCCAACUCCAAUAAGUGUUAGCACAACCGCUUGUUGAAAAGAGGCACCCCGACCCGAGUCGCUUGUUGAAUGGAGGAAAAGAAUGUGCACUACUCUACUAUAAGGACUACUAAUAGAAAUAGGCUCUUAGCACCUUGCUUUCGAUCUACUCGAGUAGCUUGGCUAGUUUGUGUCUUGCGCAACGACUAAUGCUAUAGUAACUUGCGUUAGCAUAAUGUGUUUUCGCCAGAGCUUGUUCAUCCUUUUGAUUCUUCCGUUGCAUGUUUCUCCACUUCUUUGACCCUUGCUGAGGAAGGCUUCUUUCUCGUUGUUUAACCCGUGUCCUGUACCUCGGGGGUCUAUUGCUAAUAAGUCUAUUAACCUGUACCUCAGGGGGUCUAUUGCUAAUGAGUCUCGGGGGUCUAUUGCUAAUAAGUCUCGGGGGUCUAUUGCUAAUAAGUCUAUUAAUGGGGCUUUAUUCCGUGUGGGUUUCGUAAGGUUAAGGGCUAAUGUUAAUCUCCGAUAGAAUAAGAAUGCUUUGGAAGGGUAAAGUGGAAAGGAAUGGCUGAAUUGGAUCUAGCGUUGAUACAUUAUAUAGAACUCAGUCAUUUUCGAAGUGUUUUUCAUAUAUAAUAGAAUUCUUCAAUGAAAAGAACUCCCCAUUAGAGGAGCCAGCCUCAGUCAGUCCCAUCACUCCGGAUUGCUUACUGCUGGCACAAACUCACGUUUACCCCCCGAAAACUCCAAAUCAUGGAAAUGACUUGAAUAGCUUUACUUGGAGAAUUCCCUCUCUUGCGCGCUUACUUUCAUAAUUCCUUCUGAAGCAGACAGCCCAGCAGUUCGAUAAUGGUAGUGACAAAAUCACUAUUCUUCUAUUCCUUCUUAAGCCCCCUAACACGCUAUAUUAGUAAUAGCUUUUUCGGUAUCUUCUAGUUUUAGGAGAGUAUCCAUUGGUGCCCCGAGUGUUGUAGGAUUAUGAAUUAGCAUAGUUUCACAGAGUCAUAUAAUAUAGACGCAAAAGACAACUAUAAGAGUGCUUACGCUUACUUUCGCAGUUGCUGCAGCUUGUUCCGUUGCGAGACGUUAAUCUUUUUAGAAAUCAAUUCUUAACAAGAAGGGCGCCAAGGCCGCUUUUUGCCCAAGCAUCCUUCAAAUGGAGUGCAUCAUCCAUUAUAGAAAUAUGGUAAACAACCACUAUAAUAAGAAUAAAGUAACCAAACUCUAAACUCCUCGCUCUUGCUUUAAUUAAUACUUUAGUGCAAAAUCAUAUUUGAGAGCGUUCCUGCUCCUGCUCUACCUAACAAAACAGUGCUAGCCCCACUUAAUAUGCAUGACAACUGAUCUAAGGGCGGAACCUAACUGCUUGUUAGCUUGUUUUUGCGCGGUUGCUUUCUCUUAUUUAACAGGCUCCUUACUCUAAGGAAGAGAAUUGAGCAUUACACUUAAUAUAGAAUAGAGAAAUAGUAACUCAACUGAUUGACUUCUUGCCUUGACUUUGAUUAUUGGCUUCUGAAGCGGUUAAGUAGAAAAGAAGCUAGAAAGCUAGUAAGUCUACUACCCUUGCCCGAGCUCACUAACGCACAAACAGAACAAAGCUUGUUCCCCGCACAACACCCAAUUGCUUCCUUUAAGAACUCAUAUCGGCAUAGAAAGAGCGAGCAACAACAGUAGGGCCAGCCAGUGAAACUGACUAUAUCCAUAUGGGGAGGAAUUUACAAAAUAAUAGCAGAAUAUAACAUAGCACCCGUUACUACACUCUAAUAAAACGAAAAAGUGAAGUAAGCGUUAGCAAUAGCCACUAUAGUCAUAAUUAGCAAAACUAAGAACUCUCAACUCACACUGCGUACUCUGAGGCAUGGGCACUGAUCUAUACGUUUGAUUGACGACAUUGCCUUUCCCUCAAACACUUGACAUUGCCUUUUCCUCAAACACUUGACAUUGCCUUUCCUUUCCUUUCGCACUCCGAAACUCACUUAUUACUUCUGAAGCCCUAGCUUGUUUCACAUGAUCCGCACAACACCUCUAUAGAAUUAGGUAACCACCUAACAAAGCAUCGCUAAAAAGAAAACUAUUGAAAACCCCACCAUAUUCAUUGUUGAACUCAUAACAUAGGCGCACCCCAGAAAGCGUAAAGUAAGCUAAUGCACAACUGUAACCCGUAAAGUCAGAAGUAAGCGUUAGCGCGUUGCGAGAGUCGAGUGGACUGUUUGCUUUAAGGUAUCGGUUAGGCGGAAAGGGUGCCAGGGAAAUGCAGCCAAAUCUAAGUCUAAAGUAUGUUUUGAAGCCGCCCCAAGAGAGUAAUAUGUUAUAGGUUCCUAUUCCUAUAUAACAUAAGUUGUGCCAUCCAUUCCAUUUAUUAUUUCUCCAUUUAUUAUUUCUUAGUAUUAGGAGCGUAAGUAGCCAAGUAACUAACUUAGAGAGGGCAAACUUCGAGCUAUAACUAAUGGAUUAGGGGUGGAUUUUGGUAUUGCUGGCUAAACGGAGUUGCCUUCCACACGUGUACUGAAACCGGAGUCUGCUACUCGCCUUAGGCAAAACCCGGAGUCUCUUGCUUUAAAGAAGGAAGGACUGAACGGUGGCAUAAAAGCCUUGGCUGCCGCGCCUGAUUCGACUCACUCUUCGAAUUACCCUAGUUCCUUAUUAAUCCAAAUAGCCAUAGUAGAAGCUGAGCUAUCUACCACCUUAGCGAAAGUUAUCAAACAAACAAAGUGACAUUCCCCUCACUUACGGAAAAAGACCUUUACUAGUAGUUCUGGUUAGCCCACUUGCCCGAGCACACUCUAAACUAGUAGAUGCGCCAAUCCUGCGUUACCCCACGAGAACAGAAAAACCAACAAAGCAUUAAGCCCUUAUUUAAGCAUACCCAACGCGGCAAUCGGAACUUAUCGAGAAGAAGAGAUAUUAACAACCUCUCAACAAGUUGCCUCUUACCUCUGUCUCACGACCGCAAAUAGAACCUUCCGCUAACAAGUGUGCCCCGAGUAGAAUCCUACGUAAUACUCUGAAUCUAGUUGUUUGGCUCCUCUGCCUUAAUCUUCUCUUGUAUGCCUCGGUUUCAUUCUUUAGGUACAUCAUUCACUUGUAUCUGGCUGGUAUCAUCGGUUUCUGAUAGAGCCUUGACACUUUUCUCCUGUCUGAACCUACAUAAUGAACUGGGAAAGGAUUACUCGACUACUAUGUCAUGGAGUGAGUGAGGGCGCAGCUACCGGCUCCCCCAGCAUCUCAAGUUCUUAGGCGGGGACAGGAUUCUUCAUUUACAUAGUAUCAAUGCUAUCUUAAGUUGUCUUGAAGUUAUGAAUAGAAGGGAAAAGUAGUAAGGGCAAGAAGGAAUUCUUUUAUGUGAAUAGUAGCUGUACAACGGUUCCAGGAAGAAAUGCCAUCGGUCAGUCCGAGUGUGAGCACUCGUUAGAAAGGCCGGAUCAUUAGAAUCCGAGGCGUUUUCACGUGUUGUACGUACUGAUCGGGAGGAUUUUGCUACUCCCAAACCGAAACCAGAAGAGAAGGCUUUCAGCACCUUGUUUCUAGUCAUGCUGCACGAGGUAGAGGCCGUGGGGGUCGGACGCUCAUCGAUUGAAGUUCACCUCCUACAUGUACUCAUUGUGGUAAGCGUGGUCAUGUCCAACGAUCGGGACCUUUAUGGGCGGACUGCCUAGAACCACUACUUGUUGGGGCAAUCAGAUAGUAUAGUAGCAACAGUAGAAGUGAGUUCAAAAGUGAUUAUAGAAGAUAGUAGCCAGAGUAGAGGUAUAGUAGUAGGAGCAUAACCAGUAACAUCUCUUAUAUCAAGGUGAGAAUUAAGGUACAAGUGGUAAGGGAGUUCAUUACUAGGGAGUUUCAGAGUGAAAGAAAGAGGAAAGAAAGGUGAGCCUACGGUUGGUAUAGAGCACCCACUUAACAGGGUUGGCCAGAAAGAAGUCAACUAGUGAGUUAUCGGAGAGAAAAGAAAGAGAAAAAAGAGAAAAGAAAGACUUUCCUAGGUAUAGCAACAGUCAAAAAUCCUCUGUCUGGGGAUUCGCGCCUAUGUGUGAAGUGUGAAGGAAUAAAACCUGUAGUGGAACCCAGUAAGAAAACUAGUAUAGCAAUAGUCAAAAAUCCUCCGCUCUAAGGGAGUUGUAUAACCCAUGUGUUCAGCAAGUAUAAAAUGUAGUAAAUAGAGAACCCAGAGAAAUGGAGUGGAGUAGUAGAACCCUAGUGUUAAGCAAUGAUCAAAUGCAAUGUUGUUAGUUUACUAUAACCUAUGUGUUCAGCAAGUAUAAAAUGAAGCAAGUAGUCAAUUAAUCCAUAAGAUAGUCAAGGCUUUGAAGCAAGAAAGUCAGAACUCAACAGGAAGGGAAGAAACAUCAGAAUUAGCGGGAGAGCCUGAGUUCACAGAGACGAGGUUAAGUAUCAAGGAAGUCAGCUACUGUCACUACAUCUGCUUACUUGUCUAGUAGUAGCUUGCCGUCUUGUCGUCUUAUCUGCUUGGCCCGUUCGAACUAGCAGCCCUUUAGCGCUACUCUCACAGCAACUGUUACAGUGUGACUAACAACAAAGAACAGUACCAGCUCAUCAGUGGUUCAAGUGCUGUGCCCAGAAACGGUUCACAGAUCUAUGGCUAGAACAAUUUCUCAACGGAUCCAUGGGAAGGAAAUAGAUUCCAAAUAAUCAUUAAAGUAAGUAGCCUUAGUUGAAUAACCUAAAGCACCGGUCUUAUUAUCAACAGCAGAAGCAAUCCGAUGAGGGUCUCUUGGGUUCUCCUCUAUGAUUGACUUUGAUAUGUAUACUUUAGAAUCUAUCUGGAGACAUGGCUAUCGUAUGUCCGCUCUAGUUUUGCUCCGCAUCAAACGUGGGUAUUAUGCAUUCAUCUUCAAAGCGUUAUUCUCAACGGCUUUUUUGACAUUUACACUGGGUGGGGCUACCCGAGCAAUCCGGCUGGGCUGCAUUUGUAUCAUACUCGCCAAGGCUAAAGUUUCGUCUUCACCGGUGACCACAACCCACCCUAUUCAAUGAACUUGUUUUCGUCUUCCGAUUGGGGGGUAAAAACACUCUCCCCCGCUUUUAUCUAGGGUGCCUUUUCUAGUCCAAAUCCACCAGGAGAAUCCAUGGACAGUCUUGAUCCAGAGAGAAAUCCUUCAGACUAACCCGCCCGCCUUUCCUCCAUACAAUUUCCUCUAUACACACACCUGUUAGGAAUAAAUGAGUUUGACUUCCCACAAUUUGGCAUUGUAAAUGGAAAAAAAGAUUGUUCUCUGAGAUGGACAUGAAACUGGAAUCCCAGCAGAUCAUUAUUCCGCUUUUAGUACUGGAUGUCAAAUGAAAGAAAAUCCUGUAAAAUUGUUCUGCGAAGGACUGGCUAGGUCGAAGUGGUUCUUCUCCCUCGAUCUGUCUUCGUUGGAAGGUUGGGUUUUCCCUCUAUCUGGGUGUCCCGUUGAGUGCUACAUCCGGUUGUCUCCCUGUUGGGAGGUUUGGUUUACUUACUUAGUGGACAUAGGAGUAGUUAGUGUACUUAAGAAUCCAAUCCAAUCCAAUAGUCCUGAUGAAUCAAAAUAUAAGAAAGAACAAACCGAAAACAAUUCUUUCAUAAUCUUUAAUAAGAGUGUUCCAAGUUCUCCGAAGGAGUUCCUUCGUUUGCUGGUUGCAUCUUUAUAUAUGAAACCGAACAAUAGAAUUAGCAACUGAGUGAUCGUAGCGAAGUGGGUGCCAAUGGGCUUGAUUGAGAGAUCUUUAUUGUAGGCUCUGCUUAUUCUAGAGCCCUGUUAGCUCUGUGCUCCUCGCUUAUCUCUCUUCUGAAUUGUGUAUAAUUCGAUAGCAGCUUCCCCGCUCUUGUAUGCCUUGCUUUCUUCUCAGUUCUCUAGGAUGGAUUAGUCUAAAUUGGAACCCGAAAUAAUACCCAGUAGUCAGUAGUAAGCCUACCGAUUGCCAGAAGUAAGUUACCCAACUAAAUAAGUGAUGUUAUAGUGCAUUUUCCACCCAUAUCUUUAGGGUUCCCUUUAAGAUCCGGCUUUGAAGCUCUAAGUGUAGAAUGUACUGUUCUUGUGUGAGUUGAAGACAGGGAGUACUUGUUCUUGAACACAGGACUCCAACAACUUUAGCACAACUCCGUCCUUAUGUCCUGAGUUGCUUGUCGGACGAAAAAGGGUAUACUUUCUGGGCCCUUGACUUUGAUAGCCUUCUUCAGCGAGGUGUCGUGUUUCGAGGUGCGUUAGUGAGCUCGGGCUCGGUUAACGCUUAAAUCCUUAUUUCUUUCCCGAUUCCUAGGGCCUUCAAAUGCAUUUCCGUCUAAUAUCUUUGAUUUCGAGUUCCGGGCACAGCACAGAAGAAAGUAUUGGAUUGAGCUAGGAAGCGAGGAUUCUUGAGCAAGCGUUGUUUGUUACCUAACAGCAGCAGAUCCAUCUUAUGCUUACGGUGAACUCACUAUAGCUUUUUUCUUGCACCGAGGAAGAGUCAAACAUGCAUUUCUUAUCUUUUGCGCACGCACAUCUAUAGAAUUAAGUAACCUAACAACUGAACUUGGCUUUAGAAUUAAGUAACCUAACAACUGAACUUGGCUUUAGAAUUAAGUAACCUAACAACUGAACUUGGCUUUUGCUUUUGCCGAACUAGACUUUACGCUUGCUCCGGAUUCUCUUCGGCUUCUUGCUUCCGCUUUAUAUAUAGGUAGGAUUAGACUGCUAGGUAGGAUUAGACUUAUUUACUUCCUGCAACACAAUAACCUCCUCAUAUGUCAGCCUUCUUCCCAGGAUCAGCGGUAAUCUCCCUUGCAUAUGGGUCCUAUAACAAACCUUUUGGUUGGUGGGAAGAAUUGCUUUCUUUAACCACUGCUCCCGUAUCCGAGUGAGUAACAACUUAGCUCCCGUAUCCGAGUGAGUAACAACUUAGCUCCCGUAUUCGAGCCGAGUGAGUAACAACUUAUUGAGUGUCUGGGAGUAUCCCCCGUAUCAAAGAAAGAGUAAGGAGGCAUGUAUCAAUAGCGCUAUGCUUUUAUUAUCUCCUUGCCACCAGGUCAGUAACCAGAGACUUGAAGGCUUUUUGAAUGAAGCAGCUGAGCAUAACGAAUCGAAGCCGAAGGCGGAUCCAAAUACGGUUGCCUCUCCUCUGAAAGAAGAAGUUGACUCUCGUUCCCUCUCCUCUGAAAGAAGAAGUCGACUCUAAUAAGUAAAGCUAUCAUAGUAAUUGACUCUAGGAAAGCCAUAAGUAAAGCUAUAGUAAUUGACUCUAAUAAGUAAAGCUAUCAUAGUAAUUGACUCUGGGAAAGCGGAACGAAGAUCCAAUGAAUGAGCUUGAAAUCCCGUUCAGAACAGUUCAGCUCAAGUUAGUAUGAGUUCCUAGCUUACGGAAUUACGCAAGGUUAUCGCUCAAUGCCAGGAGAUGCUUUUGCCUUCCUAAAUACUGCUAAGGGUCCUUCAUCCAGUAACCUUGUUCCCGCAAGAGAACUUUAGGCACGGGGGUGAAUACAAAUGGCAAAAUGAGAGGCUCGCUUUUUCUCAGAGCUUGCUGGCUCACCUUUCGGGUUGCACUGCCUAGCCCUCUACACCAGCUAAUCUAAAGAAAAUGGCCAGUUCACAAGGGGAAUCGGCCCCAUAGUCCAGCGAAUCUCAAGAAAAGGUCGGUUCACAAGGGGACAUAAGCAUCGGCACCAUAGUAAGGGAGUCUUUCCUCACAGAUUAACACAGUAGGGAGAGCCCUCGAUUCGCUCAUUUCAACGAAGCUCAGUCAGUUAGUUUUGGGCUGUUCCAUUCUUUUGGUAGAGGCUUUUCCGCGGGGCCAAGCAACUACUACUGUGACAGAGGCAAAGAGCCAAGCGUAUACCUGGACUAUCGACAUCCUUAUUAGUGUUGAACUUAGAUCCUUCGUUGAUCGCCUCCGCCCCUGCUGUCGUCUCUGCUUUAUAAGCGUUUCUAUCUUUCUCUGCUCGCACCUGCUGAUAAAAUCGGAUCGACUGAUACAGUAUAUGCUAUCGGUGGAGACUACCUCAACAACAGGCAAUUGGAUCUUGUCCUCUGCUUCAAUUUAUGAUGAAACUGCGGUCGACUCGUUCCGUUCUUGAUCUAGAUACUCUGACUCGGUACCCAGAUGCGACCCGACCCUAGCUGACCCCGCCCCGCUUCUUCUGAUGGGUUGGUUUUCAAUGGGGAGUUACAGUAGUUUUGAAGCAACGAAACAAUCUUUCUCUUAUCUUAUGCGCUCUCGGGGAUGAAUUUCACACCUAUGAGACUCUGGGGGAUUAACCUAACACUGCCACAGCUCGCGCACCCUUUCCAAAAGAAAGGUAUCGUUGCUACUCCGUUGAAUUGUAUCCCUUUUAUUCUUUUCUGCCCAAAGCCCCCACCCGGACAUUCUUAGCAACCUCAGCUGUAGAGAUUAGAUUCAACAUUCCAUUCUUUAAGCAAGGGAAGCAAUGCUUAGUUUUAUGACUGCUACUCUAUAUGUGGAACGCUCAAUUCUCUUCUCUGCCUUUUGCACUCACAUUCAAUGAGAUUAACUUUAAGGGUCGAACAGGAACGAACAGGAUCGCGCAGUAACGAACUGGAAUGGAUUUCUAAGGGAGUAAUAACGAAACUACUAAUAAGGAAAAUUCGAAUAAGAUAAGGGAAAGUCCGCCUAUGAGCAGGGAAUGUUAGACUAAAGGCCAGUAGCAGAAAGACCAGCAUAAGCACAUAAUCAAUAUAAUAUGUAGUUCAUGUCAGGUUGAAAGCCCAAAUCCCGAUCGGUAACUACAGACGGAAAGGCAGUGUAAGUUUCAGAGCGCGGAUAGUCGGGCUUGGCUACUACCCUGCUGGGUAGUUCAGUUACUUAUGAGUUCAAUUAAGAGUUUUCUACUUGGACCUGGGUAACCAAUGAUGUUACUGCUUGGUGUGAAUCCUAGGUUGAUUCUACUACCUAUACAGACUACUGAUACUGAGACUAUUACUUAGUUGUUAACUCCUUACUUCUUAGUGCGAUUCCUUUACUUAUGGGUUUCCGUCUUAUCGGGUAGGUCGUGAUUUCUUGUUAUCAGCAGUUCGAUUCGAUUCUUGUAUAUGCUACAUCUCAUCAAUCCCCACAUUGCUAAAGAAUAAGAGUAAGGGCUGUAAGGCUGUCAGGCAUUAGUUGCUGAGUUGGUGUUGGGAAUAGCAGACUGAUAGGCAAGAGAUAUUGGCUUAGUUCCAAUGGGCAGUAUAUAUAUGCGGAGUUCCAAGUCCCAUUCUUAGGUUUCUAUUCUGGGUGUCGUUAUUUCAAUCUUGUCGACACUGGAUUUAUUCUGUAUUAGCGGCAGGGUUCCUACUUAUUAGUUUACGAAGACAUCAGCAGGACAUAACUAAUAAGAAAUACAUAAUGGGGGCAUUGAGAGCAGGGUCCUAAGCCCCUAAAGACAUUAGUGGCAUACUUCAGGGUGUAUGCGCGCCUGAGACCUAAGCGGAUUAGUUAAGUAGUGACAGCAAAGAGAUAGGGAAUGCAAGGGACAAUUAGAAGACUGGCUACCCGAAACACGGGAGUGGAAGUAAUAAGUACAAGAACCUGGCUACCUAUUAAUAAGACUAAACCGAAAGCAUAUAGUAAUGAGAGAGCGCAGUCGCAGUUUUCUGCUAUAACUAAAGAGUUCAAGAAGCAAUACGGAGGCUUAAGGUAAAGAGUAGAGGACAACAACUCAACAGUCGGAAUGAAAGCAAAGCAUACCAAGAGUGAAGGUCAAGGUAGUUAGAAUCAAGGCAAGGAUGGUUAUAAUGAGAAAGGAGAGCGAGAGGCGGUAAUCAAAGACAAAGUAGGCUCAGACUCCAACAGCAGAUCGGGAAUUCGAAUAAGUAGUUGAUGUUUGAAACUACAACACUAGUAAGCGAAACUGGAACACAGGAGUUUAGGGAACAACUAAAAGAAUGCAAGGCAGGAAUGUCAGGGCAACAUAAGAUAAUAUGUGAUGGUCGUGUCGGGUAUUUCGAAUUCAAGCAAAGAGAGGCGGGCUACGAAAUAGUUUAGUCAAAUAAGAUCCUAGGGGCGAUGGGAGGGUAAUACUUUGGAGUUCGUAGUGGAAGGCCUAUACGCUUAAAUACAAGAGUUAGAGGAAGGGGUUCAAGACCUAGUUAUUAGUUCAAGUAGUGUUGGGCGCCAGUUUGAGUUUGAGUUCCCCGUUAAAGUAAUAGAAGCACUGGUUGGUUAUAGGCUCAUAAGCUAAUAAGUAAGUAAGGAUCCGGUUCAGCAACUAAUAGCCCUCAAAGAAGUGGAGCGGGCCUGCCCCCACAAACGACUAUUCUUAUGAAACUACAAAUCAGUCUGCCCUUCCUCACUUACUUCCUCUAGUCAACGAUUGAAACAGACUUGACUGUCUACUAUACGGGUCUACCCUGCCUUGCUUGUUAGUUCGAGCCUAUCUCGCCUAAAUCUUAUUUGUCAUAUCAACAACUAGAUCUUUCUGCCACAUAUCCAUGCGUUAACACAUAGGUUCUAUUACUAUAAUGGAAUUACUAUACGAAAACACAUGCUAUUAUUAUAUAUCAUAUGAAAACGUUAGAGUCAAUAGUGGGUGCCAAGGGAAUGCUGCGCUACCUUAUUCAUUAGAAUCAGAAAAUGUAAGUAAACCCUGUCUUACUUACUAAGUAGUCAAUCUUUUACUCACCGGCAGCAUAAAGCCUUAUUCAACAGCAGUCCACGCCUUACUAUAUCUAUACAUUUCCAAGCCUUCCCUUAAAUCAUUUCACUCUCCAGCUGAUUACUUGUAUUUUUUGACUACCUGAUCCCGGGUCCUUUCACCCAAACUGACAUUGCUUUACCUGAUUCUUAAUACUCUUACGCCCUUCCCCGUGGCUAGCUCCUCAAACAAAUAACGAGUUUUGUUAGCUGGGUUUCUACCCUUGUAUGCCUGAGCUCAAUUCGCUAGGCAGUAGUCAAUUCUUCUAUAUUCACUAGUUCGACUCCGCCUCUAUGGGCGCUGUAUCCUAUUCUGAAUAUAAGUAAUAUAAGUAAGUAAACAAAAAGAGCGUAGCUAAAGUGUGUUCUGGACUUCCCCUACUGCCUACGAGGCUUGCUUUCCCGUCUCUAAGCCCCACAGCUAUAGGCACCAACCUCUACUUGUUCUUUCCAUGCCUAUGCUCCAGCUAAAGUAUUAACUACUGAGUUGAAACCGAGCCUAGAGCAAUUAACGUAUUACUUCCCCACGUAUCUAAGGCUCUUACUCUGGGUCCUUUUUUCUUCUUGUAUACCGGGCAGUGGGUUUGUAUUGCUCCCUAAAGUCACCAGAACGGAUGAAGGGCUAUUACUAACGACUUUCAUCGCACAACUCACUUAUUUCUGUGAUUUAGACCUAACCCCGCUUCGCUCAAGUAAGCUUCUUUGAGUGCUGCCCCAACUCUUCUUUAUCCUUUUUGCAAAUCCAGUUUAUACAUCUGAUCCUCCUCUUUGCUUUUACUACUCAACCUUAUACUUGUUGGUAUCUUCUUUAUGGACUUUAGGCUUAUGCUGCCUUAACUCAAGAUAGGGAAUGGAGCUACUCACUAUAGGCCUGUAACUACUGAUAACCAUUCUCCAUCUAUUGAUCAAACUAAAACUGCUUACUCGCAUGACCUUUCUCUUGUUUUGAAACUAAUAGUAAGUUAGCCUGCCUCUACUGGUUAUAAUUCCUAAACUCCGGGUAAUGAUCUAGUGCAUCUAAUCAUAGGAAUAGGUCUAAGAGCACUAAGCAACAAGGCAACAAGAAAAAUCAGUAAUAUGACCAAGAAUAAUAAGUAUAAUAAGUAGAAUAUUACAUAGAACCAAACUCUGUAUUAUAAGAAUUGAGGUACAGCCCAACGCAUAUAGGUAUAAGAACGUUCCACAGAGAAUAUGGAAGUGAACUCAGCCAGCAGCCAGCAGCUGACGCUGACCUUGCUUCACCGGCGUAACAAUCUUACCUCCACCCGGGCAUAAUCCUACUCGUUAGCUGCGUUCCUCUCUUAGGCUUACUCCCUUCUCUAAGUUUCUGGUUCCUGCCUAUCCGCCUGUCCCCCACACUGCUGACUUCUAUUCUUUAACUAAUAGAACCCAACCUUUUACCUCCUCUUUUCACCUAUGAAGCCUGCUACUAUUGAAUGCAAUUCUGGAGUGAUGCUGCCAAACCCCCACAAUAAUAUCGUACUUGAUUCCAUCUAUAGAGUUCCAUUCCAUGCCCUACUCCUUUAUGCUUAGACUAAUAAGCUCCAGUCUGAUACUCGGAUUUGUUCUUCGGAAACAACUGCAGUAAUAACUUCUUAAUAACUAAUAUAUUAGCGGACCUGCCUUGCUUUAAGUCUAUCUUUUCUUUCUUCAAUGCCUUAGUUCAUUAGCUUCAUCUUAAUUCUUCUGUUUACUGACAUCAAUUAUUCCUUUCUCAUAUGAUAACAAAACGGGCUUUCUGUUUUAGAUAAAGGAGUGGACUAGUGAAAAGGUGAAGUCAGAACGGAACCACACUCUGUAUUAGUAGAAAGAAGUAAGGGACGUGCCCUACAAUACAAGAAAGAAUAAGAAAAACGGAAAGAGUUGAAUCACUGGUAGCGCAUCCACUAAGAGAAUAAUAGCUGUAAUCAGAUAUUAGAAUAAUUGCAGUAAUCAUAAGAACGGAACCCGGAGGCACAGUGAAAGAACGAAAUGAGUACAAGUAAGGCUGUUGGGUAGCAUUUUCAAAGAGUGCUAUAAGUAGUUCGAGGCUAAGGUGUAGUAAAGCCAGGAUGGGGAUCCGCUGUUAGAGAACGCAGGGAGGGAGUCACAAACAGACCUAUACCCAAACCCAAACAUAGGAGGAGGAAUGCAAGGACUAUUAUCAGAAUUGAGCACAUAACUCGAGAGGAACUAAGCACAUAAGAUAGCCUGCCCUUCUGAACUCUAAACCUGAUGCUGCUUUCUCUUAUUUGGAAACCUUGAACAAUAGGUUAGUAGGGCGUAUAUCAACUCUCAUAAGAAGGGGCUAUUUCGGCUAGUUACUAUUAGAAUGGGGCUGGUGCCUUGCCUAUAAGACAGCAAACAGUGCUUCCAAGCAUUAAACACAGAACCGACUUACUGAUAAUCAGAAUCGAUCUACCGACAAACAGGCCAAAGAGCUACUGCUUCCAAGACAACAACCACUGCUUAUAGGACUUACCCCGGAUCGAACAGCCACUUAUGAGAAUGGAGUAAUUGGCAAACAGGCUCUAACUACUGAUCCAGAUCUUCACUUGUGUGUUGGGCACGUUGCCUAGUACUAAAGCAAUAUAAUCAAUAUAAGUAAACAGAAUCAUAUCAAUAAUACAGAAUUCAUAUCAAUAAUAUAAGAUAACGGAAUUGUUCUCAUAACUCGAGAUUGAACUUAUUAGCCCUCUCUUUCUCCUCGGUAAACCAACACAACACCCCUCGCUUUCGUUCUUCAACGAUAAUGAAUUCCAAUUCUUCGGCUCCUUACCCGCAUUCUGUAGUUCGAGAGUGACUCUGCCUAUCCUCUAAAUGAUUCUGACUGUCCUAUCUCUAUGUCUCCCGCUCCUUUCCCUUAUUCCUAUGUUCAAUUAUUCAUAUGACAUUACCUUCUCUUAGUUCCAAUCAAUAGUGAGUCCGCCUAUCCACUUUGACUCCCCUUAUUAUUAUUAUAUUAGAGACUUUCCUCCACCCCGCUUUUAGCUUGCAGCCCCGACUAUUCGUAAUAAGUGAGAGGCCUCUCAUCUGAUCAACUCACUAUUCCUAGACAGGGAAAGCUGGCAAAGCAAAGAUACGACUUCCUGCCAUUGGAACGAAGCAAGAGGACAAGAAAGAACCGAGGUAAAGACACCUGGCGAACCAUAUCCACACGCUCCCGCUAUACGACAACAACAUAAGGACAAGAGGAAAGAGCUAGGAAUGUACCAAUGGAAAGAGAGCACCGGCAUUGCACCUUACUUGAACCACUUGGCCCGCAGGGGCCCGCCAGGGAGAGCCAACCUUCAAGGAUCUCUCCGGAUGCCCGUAUCCUGAUAGCCAAGAUUGGAUGCCGGCGGAACCUGUCUGGGCCUUACACGAAGUCACUUCACUCGCGGACAAAAAAGAAAUGGAACCUCACAAGCCAUAGAAAAAAUAGGCUACUUCGACUCCUAGACAGAAGAAGAGAGAGUAGGAAUGCAUCGACAGCUGGGCGUGUGGUCUUAGUAUAUUCCUACUUCAACCAACCCGACUUCGAAGAAUCAAAAGCACAGACCGAAGCAGACGGAAUAGAAUAAGAAAAACGCUCGUAGUCUUACCCUCGUUCUCCGAACCAACUUACCAACUUCAGGUAAUAGACCUAAAGAAAGAAUAGACCUGCUAAUGGAAGGCUAACGUACCGAAUAGAAGGCUUGCAAUCCUAUUUCUAAAGAGAAUUCCAGUAGUCCUCUCUAAAGAGAAUCCAAGUUUGAUCUCCCGGGUCGUGCCAGUUAGACAGGAAGAAAAGAGAAAUACCUUCCUUCAAGGAACAAUCAAACUAGAAGGUUCUUUCCAUUUUCUGAAACAUGCUAUCAGAGAACGAGCUUUAGAAUCCUGCUCUCUCUACCUGCUGACUGCUAGCUUUAGAAUCCUGCUCUCUCUACCUGCUGACUGCUGGCUCCAUCUAAAUCAAAGAAUGUGGACAAACCACUUAUGUAAGUAAGUAACCUGACUGCUAUUAAUUAUCUUAUAUCUAUUUCUGUAUCCAACUCAAGAAAUGUGCCCAGCUCAGGCAUUCUAUCUGUGCCGAGUAGUGCUUUCCCUUAACUUAAUGAGUAGUGGCCUUUCCUUUGCUUGCUUAGCUUUCCCCUGUGUAUAAGAAGCGGUUAAUAAGUGUUGGCUAAAGUCAGCAGAAGAAUUGCCAGUGAUAGUGACAGGUGCAGAGUCCAAAUAAUCCAGAAAGGUAAGCAGUAGAAAAGUCAUAAGUGGUAAGCUAAGCUGGACAGAAAGAAGUUGUUUCAUCCCAUAUAAAAGAAGAAAGAAAAAGAGCAUCAUAUCUUUUCGAAUACCCAAUACACUACACGUAGCGGUUAAGGCAAUUCAUUCUGUUUGUCUUUAAGGUUAUGUUUAGAAAGUAUAGAGCCAGGAGUGGAUAGGUGAGUUAAGGUAAAGAUCCAAGAUGCUGCCCUUAAGUUAAUGGGUAAAGUAGAAAGGAAACAGGCGCAAGAAGUCCUUUACUUAAGGUCUAGGCCGAGCAAGCCCCACAAGUUCUGUUGAUUCAAAAGGUUGAGUUGAUAUGAUUCCGGGGUGCUCUUAACCAAGUUCCGUCUCAUACACUCCAAAUUCAUUUCUGGAACGGGGAAGAUCAGAUGAUAGGGAAACCCCUACCCUCUUGGUUUCGAGAUCCUAUAUGGAACCAUUUGAACGUCCAUUCGGGCCUCAUUCUCUUCUCCUCACGUUUCAGUCAGAGCUCCGAAAUGACUUUGCCUCAUAAACCAGCACUUAAUCCUAAUCGCCCGUUAGCUAGCCCUACUUUUCUUUUGACUCGUAAAAGGCAGUUCAAUCCCCUUUUCUACUUUUAUACAAUAUAUUCCAUCCACUUUCCAUCCACUUUUCGAAUUUUCUACUAUGAUAUAUGGAACAACUAGGCCAACAACUUGACUUAGCCAUUCUUCGGAUCAAACACCCCUUCUCCUGCCGAAGUGCCAAACUACGGGAACUGGUUUUACCUCACUCCGCUCGCCCACCAUGGAGUUCUGAAUGAAGCUCUUUCCCGCGCAGGCAAUAGCACUACAUUGUCCCCAGCUUAUCAAUUCCAACAAGAAUAGGUCACUUUGCUGAGCGGAACAAACGAAUGAAUGGGUAAAAGCUCUCGCCUUACCGGGGUAAAGAAGGGUCUCCGCAUUUGAAACUCAACCCCUCGGACCACUUUCCUUCCAUACCCAUAGGACCAAGGGCUCGUACCAACCUAACUCUUUUAAGACACCGGGCUCUUCACGAAAACAGAGCAAAGGUGCUCCUUAACAACCUGAGCCACAUCCGCCCAUGGUGGGCAAUCCCAUCAGUUCUCAGUUCUUUGGAUUCAAUUCUAUCCAAAAGAAAGGGCCCAGGUAGCCUAACAAAUGCGUCUUCCGCUAUCUUAUCUAAUUCAAAACCACGGUCACUUCCACUUGCCUAGCUGAUAAAACCACUGUCUCAGUAGCUUCCUCUGGAACAGCAGCGUAUAAAACAAAUAAUAAACAAAGAUGUGAGAGCUUGAUAUACCUAAGCUAAGGGUUCUCGUCACAAUGAUUAGAUUUCUUUUCAAGCAAGAGUAAUUCAUUCCUUUUCGAUAAACAAAAGUAGGCCGUUUUUAGUAAAGUAAUAUAGAGUUAUACAAUUGGAGUAAUAUAGAGUUAUACAAAUAAGAGUGUCAUUCCUUUCGAGAAAAUGCCCAUCACGCCUCUGCUCUGACAGUCCCUUCAUGCACUGAUUCCCGUCAAGCACUCGUGGUGGAGAGUCGCGUGCCACUCACUGUGGUUGCAUCCGAGUUUUGGUGGAACCUCGCGUCCCUGCGCCUCACUCAUAAGGUAAGGUAAGGGCUGAAGAGGGGCUCGAUGAGGAAGAUCUACUUCUAAUGAGCCUGUGUCAGUGGUUGGACAAUUGAGACCAGUAGUUUGGACAGUGGAAGUGGAAAUGCAAUCCCAAUCUGAAUCUGUCGAAUCCGAAGCCUCGGUGGGGCAUUUUGAGUGUCUAAGGGCUCAAGUGAAGUUGGCAAUCAGAAGCAACGACGGUGGGGGCUCUCACUCAAUAACGGCGUGCAUACUAGGUCCCUAAAGGCGCUUGUGGCAACCCUUCACACAGAGCAGAGCAAUAGAAAGUUCCCCGCCCGGAGAAGCGAGAUCUACUGUGGUAGGAUUUAGUUCUAGAGUUUCUACUAGUUAUCCGGGUGAAAUGUAAAUCAAUUCAUAUUCGAUGCCUUGACUUGAGUUUGGGAUUCAUUCGAACCAAAAUGAACUACCCCAUUACAAUAGGGUGACGGGCUGCCAAUCAGAUUGACUUUGUGCCGUUACGUAUUUGCCUUGGCGUAUAUCAUAUACGGCUCGGGGUAGAUGGCAGGCAGUCCUAUAAGUAUAAGUAUUGGUUUAGUCCAGAGUAAGAUCAUACUGUUAUUGGUCUUGGUUUUCGUCCAGUAAGAUAUAUAGGAGAUAUGGGUCUCGGUUUUCGUCCAGUAAGAUAUAUAGGAAACUUUUCUCUCAGAUGAAUACCGUUCUGUUAGACCCGAGCGACUAUGACCAGGAGGAGAGCUCAAGUAAGUGGCAGUAUAAGCUUAUUUGGAAGGUAAUGAAGAAGUGGAAGAAAGGAUGAGUGGAGAACGACUUGAGUUUUGGAUUUAGCAGCUCCAAGUUCAUAUUAGGCCUUGUGCUUGUUCGCUCAUCAAGGAGACCUACGAGUACGUCUGUGACUUGAGUUUGGCGGGCCUUCCGCUAGCCCCAUAGAGAAAAGCUUUUACCUGGAACACCCUCAUGCUUCCACUUUGACUGCCGUUUGCUCCCAUUGAAGCGUUUGCUCGCCUCUUUACCUGGUCCGGUCGGACCUGGUGGGAACUACUACAUGAGCUUAGAAACGAGAAAAAGGAAAUGGGCUCCCCUGCGACAAAGGAAGCGAAUUUAGCACUUAACCCACACCGACUUUUGUAAGAUACCAAUCAGGGGCUUAUUCACGUCUGGUAUUAAUGUAACGUAACGGGCAGGCAGCGCUCACUACUUCGUGCUUCAAUUGACACCUCUUCCCGACUCACGUCAGAGAGCCUCCUCACGGACAACACAACGGCUAGAAGAGAGGAAGUAAGAAAGAGGGACAGCUAACACACUGUUGAAAACAAAGGUAGUUAGUUUGGGCUUCGCCAUCACCUUACUUACUGAAACACACUCCAACUUAUACUAAUCAAAUAUUCCAGUAUUUAGAACAGCUAGGUACCGGAGCCCCAGAGUGAAGGACACCUUUUUAGUAUUAUGAUUAUUCGAUUAACUUCAAGCCAACUGAACCAAACCUAACUUAUUAUUUGGAUGAAACAAAGACUGUAACUGCCGAGUGCCCUAACAUUGAUUUGACUCCCGGCUUAGCAUAGAGGACCAACGACCUUACGUCUCCAACCGAGUUGUUAGUUUUUUGGUAGUCCACUUAAGAGCGAGAAUCAUGAUACUCAAGGGGCGGGUUCUCUGGGUCAGCAACGGACCCUGGCUUUCCUUUCCUUAAGUUGAUAUUGGCCUAUAAGAAAGAAAGAGGAUUUUGGGAACAGUUUGUAAAGUCAAAACCUGUCUUGCGUAGGACAAGAUUGAGCGGAAGAAGCCGGCUUGUUGCAACCGUGACCCAUUCUAGAGAAGCCAUGAGUCAGUUUCUCUAUGCACUUUCUCACUGGAUUACCAAAGAAAGGUGAAAGGAUUUUGGGUCGAUUACCUUACGGCGAUAAAGGAUUAGACGGUUCAUUUGGAAGCCUUUGGAAUCUUAUUCUUUCAAAUAUACAGAAGUAGUCGAUGACUAAAAGAAAAGGUGCUGAAAGCCUAAGGCAAGGGGUCAGGGUAGUCUACGAAUUGUUGGUCCUGACUAAUGGCGGAGGGAGAGCGUAGCAGGAACUUUCUUUCCUGGUUGUAAGGUCGGUCUAUAAACCAAUAGAGGUCAGAGUUUCGAAAAUCCCCGAGAAGUGUGGUGUAUGGGAAUGGAGAAGUAAGCAUUCGAGUACAUUGUUGCAGACGCCUAAAAAGUGCAAUCACCCACCGACAUUUGCAUAAGAAUAAUCCGAUGAAAUCAUACAUAGCAUAGGUGCAUCUUACCUAAGAACCAGAGUAUAGGGCCGCUCUUUCCCAAUCCGAACCAGCUGAAUAGGCCUAUGUAGGGUCGUAAGGCUUCCUUCAGUGAGUGCGUAAACAGAAACUCUUUAAGAUGCCGAAUCAGAAGAAUCAGCUGAAACUAGAGAAAGAGAAGUGUAUAAGCAAAGAAUCCGAAGACGCAUAGGAACCCCAAUCACCUAAAGCAUAAGUAUUCAUCCGAUAACGCCACUGGUUGCCGUUGAUGGCCGUUGCAACAGCCCCGUGAGAACAGAACAAAACGGAUUGCUUAUUGUUUCUAUGAGUCGACAGGAGAAGCACCGCUCAAAGGAACUUUAGCUAGGUCAUUUUUACCUUGUUUUAUGAAGGUAUUUAGUACUCGAAGGAAAAAAACCUCGAAACCGGGUUGUAGCUUAUGGUGCUUUCUUCCCUUCCUAUUAAGCCUUUUACUAUUAGCUUUUUGACCUUGUUUUCCGAAGAUAGCAGCAAUCCCCCUUUUUGAAAAAAAGUAGAUACAUAAAGUAGAAAGGUAUGGAAUUGUUCUUAGCUUGGCGCGCUUGCUUCCCUCUAAAGAAGCCCUAACGCUUUGAAGUCUUAGGUUAAUCACUCCAUUCUUUCCGUACCGACCUGACCUCUCUCGAAGCAGUAUUUCCCUGAGCUGCAUAUCAAGUUUCUUACGAACUAACAUAUCUUUUGUCUCCUGAACCAAAGGAUCCCUUUUCUCCCGCUCCGCUUUUUCCGAAUCAACAUCUAAUUGUAGCUAGGUCAGUCAUAGGGUUAUUUCCAGUCUAGUCUAGAAUCAACACCAAACUAAGCUAAACCUUAACUACGUAAAAUCUACCUGUGAAAAGCUGCCAAGGAAGGAACCAAAGCGCUAGCUACUCUCCGAAAACUAGCUGCAGUGAAAGGCGACUUGAGAGUCAGAAGUGGAGAAGGAAGCGACAAGUUCCUCAGAUAGGCACGGACACUACCCAUUAGGGGUACUAAGCUUUCCCCGGGCAGAAGUCUAGCUCCAUUUUCCAUGUUGAGCAAUGCCGAUACUGCGCGCAUGCUGAUAAACAUAAAAGAACACUUCUGCUUUAAGCUAUAGCUAGGUCGGAGCCCCUUUCUCAUAAAGUGGAGUCUCUUCUUUCUUUCCCCAGUUACAGAGGAUUGACUAACCCCAUGGAUAUGUUGUCGAGGAUUGACUAACCCCAUGGAUAUGUUGUCGAGGAUUGACUAACCCCAUGGAUAUGUUGUCAUCACAUUUAGCUCCGCCUGUUAUAGCAAGCAAGCAAAGCCUACUUCCACUUUGUUGGGAGAGAAAUCCUUCCCCUAAUGCUAUUUGAUCAGCGGAUCAUAAAUGAGCCCAGCUUGGCGAAACUCCACCGUGAAAUAUGCGGGUAGCUCUUCACGAAAGAUUGUUGGCAUGCCUCCCAUAAGAAGGCGGAUAAGGAAACCCAUGAGAGCGCCUUGUCUUGUUCGAAUCUUUUUCCUAAAGAAAGAGCAAUCGAUUACUAUACUAGUGCAUGCAAACUGCAAUCUUAUAGAGCACCUUGAUCCUAUUGAAAAGAAAGGGCUCAGGCGAGAGGGCCUAAGGGUUAAUAAGAGUUCAGAGAAGGUUGGAUCCGGGAAGGCUUAUAAGCCCGAGCGAGGGUUGGUUUUGAACCCUGCAAAAGCAAAUGAAUUCGAUUCCGAGAUGAUAGGUUGGGGCUGGCUUGGAAGGCUAUUUUGCUACAGGGGAUGAUUAAGCGAUAAGAGGGAAACCACACUUUUCUUUCUCCCGUUUGUUUGUGGAUUUCCAAAGAAGAAGUAAGUGUAAUCGAGUAAACAAGCAAAUAAGAUCUGAUGCUUCUAGAUUUCUACCGUUUGUUUGUGGAUUUCCAAAGGAUAAGUCAGUGUAAUCGAGUAAACAAGCAAAUAAGAUCUUCCCUUAGAGCCAGGAAAUAAUACAAUGGGAAUUGGAGUCGCUUUUUCCUCUUUUUCAAUAUAGCUUGGGGUAUUAUUUCUAUUAGUAUUGUCCCACUGUUGCUAGUUGCAUUAUUGGUGGAAGGCUAAAGAAAAGAGGCGGUGUAGCGAGAUGACUUGGAGUGGAGCCUAGACCUUUCAUAAGGAUUGGUUUAUUCCACGUCUUUGGGUCCGGUGGUCACAGGGAAUCUUGAAGCGGCUAAGGAGUGACUCGGGAAAGGGAGAAUAGUUACGGCUAAGGAGUGACUCGGGAAAGGGAGAAUAGUGACUAAAGGUGCGGUUUGGAAGGUAAGGUCGGGUCGGCCACCUCUAUAUUCUCUUUUGACAUUCCAUCACCUCGAGGAGGAGUAAAUAGCAGCAUUCCGUUGGAUAGUUUUCGGGUGUUAAGGUUAAGAAAGACAUUGAAUCGAGGUUGGAUUGACUGGCUAGCUUGGGCUAUCCUAUCAACGAAUAAUUCCUUUCCCUUACUUAACGAGGAGAGAGAACCCUCAAAUAAGCUAACGAAAGUCAUUCUAUAGUAGCCUUGAUUCCGGCAACCACAAAACCGAGCGAGGGGGACUUCCAUAAGGCUAAGGAAAAAGAAGACCACGUGUCGGAGACCAAACGAAGUCAAGACAGUAAAGACAAAGAGUAGCGAGAGGCAUUUCUCCUUGGUCUUCUUCUCUUCUCCGAUUAGGUAAAGAAAAGCUUGUUCGAAUCGAGUCAGUGUUCAUAAAAGAAAGGACAGUUAUUUCACCGCACGCAAAGGCUGUAAGAGAGAACUAGAUUGCUUCUUUGACAAGCCAGAUGGGUUAUUUAAUCAAAAGAGAAAAUACACAAGUGUUGUGAAAAGAAAGUGAGAGUCUUGCUGGAAUAGGUUGUUUAUUUAAUAUAAGAGCUAGCUAAAGCCCCCGAACUGGGCGAACAAACCAACUUGGGCAUUGCCAAACCAACCCCGCGUCUCCCAGGGCUUCCCUUUCCCCAAUAAGAAUGCAUGAUGCUUAUUUCCUGUUUUCUUUCUACUAGCACAUGGAUCGUGAUAACUCUCUUUCUUAUAGAAUGAGGGGCAGUUUCCCUUAGAGUAAUGCGUAUGACCAGACGGAAGCUGAUGAAUGGUUGUCGACUCUGAACGUAGUUCAUGGCACGGUUCCCCCGACCCCGCACCAUUACUGGCAGGCGGCAUAAAGAAAGCCCCAAUCCGCAAGGCUCUUAGCACCUCUUUGGGUUUCAAUUCAUUCUGAACUUCAAUAGCAUAGCCAGAGUAAGCGGAGCAAGUCCCUUCCUUGAUAAGCAGAGAAAGGAUCAAAGAGAAGAAUCUCCGUGGUGAGCAAGCAGUAGCCGAACAAUCCAAAGGAGGUACUAGGAUUCUUGGUAAGAUUGAACUACAUUGCGCAUCCCACAGCUAACUGCAACUUGUGAGCCUAUUUUGAAGCUACUAAAGAAGAGAACAGCCCUUCCAAGUGGGAUGAGGAGUGUAAGGAGGCGUUUGACAAGAUAAAGUAGUCUUUGAUAAAUCCACCUGUUAGAUCUCCUCCGUCUCCGGGGAAGCCCCUACUGCUGUACCCUUUAUUGACAGAAUAACUUGUCUUUGUUAUCAGCCUGGAGUUUUUGUAUAGUGCUGCUAGGAGAGCUCACUAAGACUAGGAGCGGAUUCUAUACCAGUCACAGCGUAUUCUGGGCAUCAAUGCACUAACUCCUUCGCUUAUUCACCCUUAACCUCGUUCUUGGUUACGCGCGCCGUCUACUCUGUGCAUACACUAGGGCUCUCAAAUGGUCGACUGCGAAACACCUUGUCCUGGAAUUCAUUCGAUUUCUAUUUCAUAUUCCCCUUGUUCCUUGGAAAAGAUCUUCUUAUUUAUUAUAUAUUAAUAUGGAAAGAUCUUCUUAUUUAUGACUUAUAGAAUAAUAUGGCUGGAAAGCCUGAGUAAACAAAACAAGACAAGGGAAAAGCAACACAAGUAAAGAUUGAUGUAAUUGCAAGGGUGCUAUAAACCCCCGGCUUACCAGAGUUCGUAAAGUCAUUAAGAGUUCGAUCGAAACUGGGAGAGUUAAGGCCGUUAAAGUUCAUAUACUCAUAUGUAGAUGUAGUGCUUUUCAAAGCCGACUGAUAUUGAUAUAUAAGAGAGGCUGAAGCUAUUGCCUUGCGAUGAUCAUCUUCGGUGGAUCGAACCCAUACUAACAAGCUGCAGUUAGGAGCUCCGGCAGAAAUAGGUGAGUUGGGGUAGAUUUAAGCAGGGGCAUGAAUAGAUCGUGCUUGCACCGGACAGAGAGGCUGGUAUACAGAGGGAAUCUCUUGUGAUAGAUGAGCCGUAGUCCUGGGACAUGAGUCGAGAGGUACUCUAACCUAGCCAUAUGGUUGGGGUGGCAGAGAAGUCAGAGUGCAAUUGGAGACUUCACGACCCCGGCGUCAAUCCUGGCAGCAAUCCUUCAGGGAAUCUAUUACACUCAUUCUAUCAAUGACUCGCCUUAGAUAGCAUCUUAGAUGGCUGAGCCCUUAUUGAAUGAAGCAGGGCUUGACUCCACUCCUUCCCUCCUAUCUUGAGCCUUGACUCCACUCCUUCCCUCCUAUCUUGAGCUUUGAAGCCAGAGUUAGCGUACUGAUAGUGGGGCACUACGGAUUGAUAAUAAAGAUAUGAAAAGACGGAAACUACAGCCUUCCUUUGAUUUUAUGGUUCAAUACCUUCUCUGGCCCAUGAAACAAGAUUGGAAUUGAACCGCUCUAAGCCAACAAAGAUUUCUUACCUAGCUUCAAAGCCUGUAAUUGACUCUGCUACUUACUAUAUGGGCCCGACCCGAACUCCUCUCUGCUAACAGAAUGAGGCUCCUCUCCGGUAUUUCACUAACAAAGCUACUACUAGCAUUCCUAACAAAGCUACUACUGUUCCACUCUAACUCAGAACUCGGGAUUCCACAACUACAUUAAUCGUAAAGGGCAGUCCGCUGAGCUACACUUCCCGCGCGCAACUCUCAAUCUGGUCUUAAAGCCAACUACUCUGUUGCUACUAGAUUCUUCUUAUUUCCCCAACUCGUUAACUGGGGAUGAAACUAGAACAGACAAAUACAAAUAUGAAGUAGACCUCGCUUCAAAUCAAAUACCUGGAAGACGAGACAGAAGUAGAUCUCGCAUCAAAGGCAUCGCAGCUGACGCUGCCCUCGCAUCAAAGCAAGUCAGAUAGUCUGCAACUUACUAGAAGGGCUUCUCUACUUCCUCUUUGAACUAUCACAAGAACAGGACUCCCGGAGACGAACAAAGGACUUGAAGUGCGGACUACCGAAGUCAACUAAUUCCGAUUUCUUACGUACACUCCGAGCCUUACUAUGAAGCUUCCAACUCGCGAUGCAACUCUCACUUACCCUGGACUACCGGGCAAUGAAAUAAGUGUCAUCUACUAUGAAUGAAACGACCCCUAUACCGAUCCCUAUCCAUACGCGCCUACCCGAGUAAGUAAACUACUAAGUCAGUAAACCAACCGACCCGACCCUAGUAUAGGAAUUCCACUACUACGGAGAAGGUAUCAAACAAAAGUAAGGUUAGCAAACAACCAAUAAGGGCCUCUACAUUCCUUCCCACACCCCCACUCGGCAGCAUCUGAUAUGGCCAUGCAUUCUGAACCCUAUUCUUCUAAUUCCACACCCCCGACCUCGUAUUGGAAUGACACAAGCCCUACCCCCUAACAAGACACGCCUACCCAUACCCAUACUAGGCACCAGUGGAUUGGAUCUUAAGUCAACAAAUCAUGAAACAACUCUCCCUUUAUCUGAAGCAACAAAUCAUUUCUUAUCUUGCGCUGAAGUGCCUACGUUAGCCUCAUCUUUCGAGCAGAGAGAUCUUACCAACAGUUGGACCACUCCCCGGGCCGGGCGCAACUAAUUCAUAUGGAAAUGGAACGGAUCUGCAUAUAUAGUAGGAAAUGCAACUCAAGUAAUGGAAACUACAUCCCUUUUGUCGACCUAAACAGAACUUUAAUAAUCUACAAGCCAAUACACCGACAGAUUCCACUCGCGAUUAAACUCAUUGACAACGCGCUGAGGAAACCAGUACUUUUGAGUCCUUUAACGCAAGUCAAGCUGGCUGAUAUACUCCCUAUAAGUUCACGCUUAUGCUUUUCUUCGCUUUAGAUCUGACUUACUUAACAUGCAUUUCAGAUUGAAGAGAAAUCCGGAAUCAAGCCGAUGAUAAGAAGUGGAUCUUCUUUAUGAGUUGCUUCGACAGAUAGCAAAGACUUCUCACUUAUAAGUCAAGUAAAGUAAAAGACUUCUCACUUAUAAGGAUAGUAAUAUUUCACGAGCGAGCUAAGCAAAUUCCAAUGAAAUAGCUGCCCCUCGGAGUCACUUUUCAAGGUUUUUAUAGUCAAGUGAUUUAGAAUAAGUUCGGAUAUAGGAUAGCCGAGUAAGCAAGCGCAUUCAGGGGCAUAGGAUAGCCGAGUAAGCAAGCAUUCGGGGGCAUAGGAGUGGAAUUCUGACCUUUGAGUUCACCCCGACCUCUCCUCUAACUCUAAACUCCUGCUGACCACUCCUGUUCGUUUUCAACCUUCAUUCUUAUCCAAUAACUCCCGGCUCAGCUAACUCAGGCUCAGAUCAUCUCUUUGAACUCUUUCUCCUCUCUUACAAAUAUACCUCCAUCUGUUCUCUUCUCUUGCUCAUCUAGCUAUGUCAACUAGUCCGCAUUUUGCCUCUGUCUCUUAUCCUCUACCUCUGUAAACUGCCAAGCGACUAGGCAAGUCCUGUUUAUUAGGGUUCUUUAUUAGGGUUCUCUUGCCGAAACUCACAAUAAGGGCCCGAGCUAACUCGAUCUUACUUACCGACCUCGACCUGGAACAGGCAAUUCCCCAGGCCAAGCUACUUACUAGACACUCAAUCCGGGCCUAGCUACUACUACUUCAAUCUGUUUCUUAUUUACCGCAAGCUGCUGGAUCCCGAGCGCAUAGCAAGUAAUAAAUACAUUAUCACAGCCUUUGGGAGUGCUUAUUUAGCCUAUGGCAACUUCCAACUAUUAACAGAAUUAGGCUAAUCUCACUCUUUCUCCUCUCCAAUGGAAUACCUCUGGCUCAUAUUCCUUAAUUCUUAUCCAAUAACUCUGGCUCAUCUAACUUCAAUCUGACUUGCUUCAUGAGGCUCUCUUCUCUUCUUGCCUUCAUCUCUUCUUCGGAGAAUUGAGACUUUAGUGACUUGGCCCGAUCAUCUAUAAUAAGAGUGGAAUUCAUAGUUGCUAGCUCAGCUCCUGAUACUGGAAAUUCUCUACUCCAAGCAUGGUCUCGAGCCGCUCUAAGACAACUACUACAGUUAUUGCUCUCAUCUAAUCUAAUAUCAAUACUACAGUUAUUGCUCUCAUCUAAUCUAAUAUCAAGUCCAGGUCCAGUAUCACAGUUGACUUUGGAACUCACUCCUACUGUUGCUCACCUAGUAACUUCCUUCUGGGAAUCGGUGGGCAAGGGAAGCUAAGCUAUAAGUACUUCAGUGAAGAAUUGAACGACUAACGACCAAGCAACGACUAUACCUCUUACCUAUUAGUUCCCCCACUUUCAGUUAGUUCUUACCUUAGACACAAGCACAAUCACCUCCCUCUCUAAACCUACCCGCCAAGCGACUCCUCAUGUUACGCGGCAGCAACAAAUGUACUCUAGUUGACUACCCGGUAAGAAUAGGGCUCCAAAUUCAUUAUUUACCAAAUUCUUAUAUGUUUUUAGAAGAUUGCCCAUUUCCACUAAUAAACUGGCCGGAUAAUGCAUUUCUUCCUAACAUCCUUAGGGUUCCCUUCGAGCUCGAGUAUAGCUUAUUUCUGCCAGACUUAUUUAAUGGUAGAAUCUUAUGUUCGAGUGAAAUCUUAUAAGGAAGUAGGUAACACCCAGGAUAGUUGAUAGGGAGUAUUUAUGGGCCAUUAGACCAGACCUAGCCCCUGAUUCUGUUGAUGACAGUAAACCCUUAUUCUGUUGAUAAAGCUUCUUCACCCGAUCCUGACUCGUUGCUAUAAACCAUAUUCUAUUGACUUCCAAACAAACUCCCGACUCGUUGCUAUAAACUGCUUCCUGCUAUAAUCCCACGGACUAAGAAGACAUAUCUCUUUUGAAUGCCCACUAUGUUAAGGGAAGAACAGAAUCAAGAUCAGAAACAUAAGCAAGAUCGGGCUUUGAAGAAGGAAUUGAUGAAUAAGCCUAAGAUGGAAAGUAGGCUGUCAUAUUUCUGACUACAAGUCGAGUUAGGAAGUCUGCUGUAAAUGAAGUGGAGGUAGCAGCGGUACAAAGAGGAGGUUUGCUAUAAGUGAUUCAGUUUCAAAGUACCUAGAAGCAUUGGUUACGGCUUAAGGAAAGAAAAGCUGUGGAUCUAGCCUAUUAGUAUUCAAAUAGAUAUUAGCUCGUAUAGGCAUAUAAGAACUGUUCUCGUUGGCUCUAAGUGAGGAUCAUAAGCUUCCAGAAGGUAUAGAUUGUGGGUAAUAUUCCUUAUUUAGAUACGACUACUAGGCGCUGCGCUCAAAAGAUUCAAUGAAUUCUUAAGACAGUGGAGUUUAGUCCUUAGUUGAUGCUAGUUAACGAGUUGAUCAAAGUGAAAGUGCUAACGGAGCUCUUGUUGGUGACUUGAACCUUCUUCUCGGCUUGAGAAAAGAGCUAGAACCAGAAACUGUAAUAAUAAUGAACCGGCAUCUGAUCCUGCUCCUAGCGGUAAGUAAACUAUAUGAAUUAUAGCAGUUAGAAAAGUGUGAAGUGACUUCGAAUACUUACUUAUACAUAUAAGGACUAUGACUUAUUACUAAUAGUUAUAGGAGUUAGGAGUUCAAUUCCAUACCUGAGUUAUGAGUUAGUCGUACUUAUCAUUGCUUCACACAAGUCAAACUUUCGAGUUGCUUGCCCACUUCUAGUCGAGUUUCAUCCUAGUUUGCUACUCAAGAAUCAGAGGUUAAGUCGGCAGCAAGCGCAUCUGUUAAACAAGCCAAGUCAGCAGCAAGACGUUCACCAAGUUUAGUUCAGGGAAGAAAAGAGGACAAGACAAACUACAUAAAUAACAUAUAAUAAAGGUACUCCACUUGAAGCAGAAAAAUCCGCAGUGCGCUUGUUAACUACACGAGUUAUAGCAUUUGAUAACCACAGAGAUAGGUCGCUGAACCAGAAUCAUUCGCUGAGUAUGAUAUAUGAGUCCUGUUUCUUUCACUCUCGAAGGAAUACUUGCCAGAAAUGGGAACCUCCACUAUGGCUAACAACUCUUUGAUCGAAUACGAGGGAAAUACUGGGAACGGUCUCUUAUCCGGAAAACAAGACAAGGGGAUGCUACAACACUCGGGAGAACCUCUCCUAUCGAGCUGAGAUAACCUCUUUCAAACAAUCUGAUGGGAGAGCUCAAAAGGAAGUAUAACUAGGAGUCGAGGGGGAACUCAAAGAGGAAUGAACGGAAGAAGGGAAAGGGCCAAGCAACUGGACAAGCUCACCUCUGAGUUUCAUUAUGUAACUACUUAGGUCAAUUCUAACUUUUGGAAAUAGGACCUGGUUGUGUUGGCGAUAUAGGAGAAUAUGGGUAUGUAUGAUCUAUAGGGCCAUACUCAGCAUAGGUACGACUCAGCAGCGCAUCUACCAAUAUGAAUAUAGGUCUCAGAGCACUAAGCAACGAAUAAGUAAUAGGACAGAGAGCCAAACUCCGCUGUAUUGGAAUUCUGGGCACAAGAAUAUAGCCAGUAACAAUAAUACUUUUCACCCAGCGCUAGCAGGAAUCCGCCUAGUAAUAUAGAAUUCACCUAGUAAUGAUAAGACCUUAGCUUCACGCGCCUACCUUACUUGUAUUCUAGAACUCCAAAUAAUCAGAAUUGCACCAACAAAAGAUAGACUGACCUUACUAAGCAGCAGAAGAAUAAAAGCAUAGAUCCAGUUGGAAAGCGAGGAGAGUUUUAGUGAAAGUGCCGCGGGGAGGACAGGCUAUUAGUUAGCAGCUCCAUUCUGAUAGUAAUAAGUGGAUCGGAUCUCUAAUAUGCCCCAAAAGCCUAGUUCCUAUUUACGAGUUGUUGUCUUAGAGAUAGCUGCUACAGCCUUAGUUCUGAGUCGAGGUCUUAUUAGUAGUAGGACCCAAUCCGAUGUAUCUGACUUUCUAGUUGUUCUCUUAGUACUCGGUGAGGCAGUCAAUUCUUCAAUGAAAAUACUUUUAGAAGGAACACACCAUAGGGUUGGGCAAGAAAGAGUUAUUUAUAGUUAAUACAAGUUAUGUUGAAUGGAGCGUUAGACUGAAGCUAUGCAUUGAAGGCAGGAGCCUAAGAAGUUAGGUUCGCAAGUUAGGCUUAGUUGGUGUAUCGGGAAUGUAGGAAGAAUUGCCCUAACCCAUAAGAAUUGGCUGUUGGGUUCUGUACUACUGGUCUGUUACUCUAGUAGCUUAUUCCGUGUUUUCUUAUAUUAGAAUUCGUUUUCUCAUUAAAACGACUUCCCUUUCUACUCUAGUUUGGGUGACUUUACUUUCCUUUCCACCCUUAGGAUGCAACACCAACAGCAUCUUGGAUCUUGACCCUAAAACGGAGGUGAGGACUUCGCUUCAACAGAACUAGUAACCCCAUUAUAAUACUGACUAAUAGGAGUUAGCGUUAAGUAACUUGUUAGGAGUGAAAUUCCAUACCGGUACAAAUACUAAUCUCUAUCCUAUUGCUUUUAUGCACAACACCUUAUUUUGAGUGGCUUGGCAGAGCAAGAAAACCCUCAAAUAAUGGAAUUGGAAGCUGGUUUGAUCUAUUCCUAGCGUUUUCCCUAUCAUCUGAUCUUCCCCGUUCAAUAAAUGCAUUUCAAGCCUAUAAAACAGGGCAGCGUUUCUUGUCGUCUUGUCGGCUUGGCGGACCAGUAGUAGACUCAUCGACAACAAAUACAUAUGAAACUGCUUUAGAUCCCAAUCCAGAUCUGGUUCUUGCUUUCUGCUUUAGCUUACAAACUUGCUCCUUCUUUUUCUGUAACUGGCAAUUCUCCUAAUUAAGAUCUGUCAACUGUUUCUUAUCCUUCUCCCGCUUCGCUUACAACUGACUUAGGAACUGCUGAUUCAGUUACUGUGGAUUCUAUCUCUUAUUGACACCUUGGACUACGGGCAAUCAGUCCAUAUAAGGUCAAUCAGUCCAUAUAAUAAUACUUACCGCAGCACAAGUACCAAAAGAAACGAAACUGGAUUUACUUGUUACUGACUUGCUAUAUGGUGAAACUAUAACCCAAAUAGAUUCAAGUUCAAGGACAGAAACGCUUGUUGGCUCUUCUAAUGCUUUUAAGCCUAUCAUCUUUACCCUUUCGAAAAGAAUCUAUUUCUGGCAUAUAAGAUCUAAUUGAAUAGCAAAACUCACUUCUUAUACUACUGCUGACACAAACUCUCUCACGUGAGCUCCUGUUUUCGGCGUUAGUGUUCGAAAGCCUAAAGUUCACUAGUUUGUUCAAAAGCCUAAAGUUCACUAGUUUGUUCGAAAGCCCUUUUUGACUCUUAACCAACACUAGGAUCUGAAGCCGCCCUUACUAAUAGUGCCGAAGAGAAUGCCCACAGAGGGAUCAGAAGGUGGUAGCAGUGCAAGGACUGGAAAUUCCACUUGUGCUUAUUGUUCUCCGGCUUCUUUUGAACUCAUAUUCUAUAAGAAAUAAGGAUGCGCCUAGCCCUUAAGUAAAUGGGAGUAAAGAUCAGCUCUUUUAGAAUGCCAAGUUCCUGUUCUCAAGUAAAGGUAUAAAGGUGUUUGCGUGGGAAGGGCCAAGCUUCGUUUUGAGUUGCGCUAAGGAGCCCGGGGGGAGUUUCAUCCCGGCUAAGUAACUGCUACAAACACAUAACAUGUAAUAGACGACUGAUGAUUCUUUCUAAGCCAAUACCCGAACAAGAUUUGUAGGGAACUUUCCAAUUGCAGCUAACUAUUGAACUGCUUUUGAUGCUUCUUCAGCAGAUCCUUAUUCCGCUUCCUCACCAGAUCUAGCUGUUGCUUAUGAUCCUACUCUAUAUUCUAAUUCCACAGCAUAUUAUAGAGUUCCUACUCUGACUCUUUAUCCUGUUUCCUCUCUUUCCAUUCUUAUUGUCAACUUACUAGAAGGGCCUCCACUCCCUUACCUGUCAACAGGACCACUACCUAGCGCAACUCUCUCUUAAUUAUGACUUGAAACUAGAGCUCUCCUUUCUGACCCUACUCUAGCUGACCCGACUCUUGCGCCUUAAGGAUUUACUUAUUUGUUUGAUCCUCUCGACUUGCCUCGUUGCUUGGCCCUGUCACAAAUGCAAAUACGGAGCUUCUAUCUCGCUCACUUUAUACUUACCUACCCUAUGGGUAUUCGAAAAGAUCUGAUAUAGUAGACUUCACUCGUACUCCAAGAUAUGAUACUGAUUCACUAACCGUUGAACCCAACACCACAGAGUGGGCAUUCUCUUCUGAAUAAGCAACAUUCUUUUGUUUCGCAAGUCCCGUUUUUCACGUUAAUGAGCGGGCCACUGACUUGGAUCCAGCUUAUGUUCUGCUUUCAACCUAUUCUUUACCAGAUUAUAUAUGAUACUUUCCUCUUAUUGACCCGUGCAGACUUUCUUUCUCGUAGACCAACUAAGGGAAAGCCUAUUAACUAUACUAUACGACAAAGAGCUACUACAGCAGAGUAUUUGAAGUCGCACCUCUCUCCACUCGAAAUACAGAAUGCAACGGGGCCCCCGGGACUACUACUACUGGGCUGGGCUCGCUGACCAAAUCAUUCUACUAUCAACUAUUGGCAAAGAAUGAACUGAGUACCUGGAUGCAAGGGACCGAUCGCCAACAAUUUCUUACUACCACUCACCGGCAAGCUACUAAGAGACCCCAAACCCUAACAAGCUAGUAAGUCAACAAAGUCAGUCCACCACCCUAACCACCAAGCUUAGUAUAGACUAUCUGAUUGCCCAAACUCCCCUUCCCUUGUGUUGCCCAGUCCUACCCUAUAGUAUAGAAUUAGAAUAGAGUCAAAACUACCACUUUGCUAUAAAAAACCCUAGAAUGAGAAUGGAGUCAAAACUACCACUUAUUCCCUUUCCACUCAUGGCAACGUACUAACAAACGGAUUUGCUUAUAUUAUAUGAAUAUGAGUCGACUUGUCCGCUUUUGUAGCACCACUUCUGGCUUAGGUUAGCUUGUAAGAUUCUUCCCCUGCCCCCGGAACUUGACUUUCGAACUGAGGAUUCUCUUGUUUCCCCUGCCCUGGCCCUUGCUUUAGUUCAUUCUUUUUCUACUGCACUGGCCUCUCCUUCUGACUUACAGUAGUACUACCGGUAUUAGGCCUCUACUUCUGCCCUAUUAUUAAGUACUGCUUCCAAAGAUGAAAGUAGGUCUGCUCAUUCUAUUCUAUAUAUGACAACUAAGCUUCUAUAUAUGACAACUAAGCUAAGGUAAAGCCAAUUACCGAACCUAGAUAACACUCAGACACAAUACCGAACCUAGAUAACACUCAGACACAAUAACUAUAAGGGGCAAAGGCAAUCACUCACUCUCAGGCUUCUCCGAUUACCCACAUCGAAUGAGUUUUACCUAGACAAUUAGUUCAUUUGAAACAAGGGAUAUGAAAAGGGUCAAACUCCGUUUCCAGUUCUGAAGGAAGCAAGCCAUAGAGCAUAACCAGAAGCCAAAGUCAGUUUCAACUGAUUCCUCAAUUGGUUAUUAGAGUUCGGGUGCUUCAAGCCUGCAGUUUCUUAACUACUGUUUCUAGGGUGUUAACUAAGUUGACUUUGCGUUCUGCUACUACUCACUUGGAUUUGUACUAUACCUUAUAUAUAAGUAAGUCUGUACUUGCCCUUCCACUAGUAUUCGUUCCUUUAGCCUACCUUUACUUGCAAUAAUAUAAGUCCGGCUUUACUUGCUUUUAAACUCACGAAAUAUCUCUUCUUUCCCCCUGCCCCUACUACUUGGAAGGCUAUAUCACCACUGUGGGGCAUGAUCCUGGCUUUCCAACUGUCGCUACUUACCGAAAAACUUGCUUUGCUUCACUUACCUCUGCAGUUAACUCUCAUUCUGUGGGACGUCCCUUGCAUUUAUGAUUACCAGACUAUUUACUUAUAGAUCAAUACUAACAAUAAGCAAUCGAGGAAUACUGAAUUGAGCUGGGGAAAAGGAAUACUGUUCAUAAGUGAGAGAAUGCAACUGUGCGAAUAAGGUGCUGAAAGCCUAGGAAGCCAAAGAAUGGAAUGUCUGGCCAGUUAAGAUAGUUUCGAGUUAGAGCUAGUUAACCUCACAGGUAGUUUCAGCUUCAAAGUAAGGAUUCCACUCAACUCACUCAGUAGUAUAAGAGUCAAAACCUAGAGUGGAAGCAUCAAAAUCCAACUAGUAAGUAAAAGAACCAACCAGUAGGGGCGUGGAUUCGCUCUAAAGUCAGGAUACCUACAAGACUCUAGGUAGUUAUAUCAAAUUCCAUAAGGGAUGUGAUUCUCUAACACUGGGGUACAGUACAUACCCUGGCUGAUAAUAAAUGCAGGAUACUGGCCCGGGGUGUACUACAGGACCUAUAAGACCAGACAAGUAACUACAACUCGGGAGCUACAUUCCUCUCAACACUAACUCCUGUCCUGUCUCUCGUUCUUUUACUCCCGAUACGACCUAGAGCAUCUACUAAUAGAAUAAAGAUCGAGUGUCUCAUAUUAAGAGAAUUCAAUCAAUAACAGAAGGAAUUGCCCUAAGAAGUAUCAGAAUGGAGUUAAUUGGUAUCGGCCUAGGAUUGAUACAAACAGAGGCGCACAGAACAAGGGCUUAUUCUAAUAGUUUGAAGAGAAGGUGGGAAGUUGCUCAGAAGCUAAAACAAGGUAGUAGAACAUAGAUUCACACUUCAAAGGAGGCCAGUAAGCCUGGGAGACCAAAGUGACUAGUUUCAAAACGAGUUCCGUCAUAUUUAUAGGUGAGUCAAUAAGGACGAGGACAUAGUUGGAGGUGCACAUAGGAAUUCGAAUAAGUAGUUGUCUUGGGAGUUAGGUGCGGAAGGGGCAAAGGUCAGGAUCAAACUCCAGAGUCAGACAGCCGGUAAAGAACCUGUGUUAGUACAUUCUUUCGGUAAAGAACUAGUAUUAGUACAUUUAUGGAAUAUUACCCGCUCAUCAAUUGAAUUAAUAACUUAAAGGUGGAGGCGAGGUCCGCAAUCAGAGAGGGAAGUUCCCUUCAAAGAGCAGAGUUCUGGUGCAAAAGUGAUCACCACACCAACCAAGAGAUUCAGUUGGCGCUGCGUAGUUAUUUGUUUCUAUGCUCGGUAAGUGCUCGUAAGUGCUCGUGCCCCAAAGUAAUAAUGGAAUGGAAGGAUUUAAUGAUCAACUGCCAAAGUGAGAGUUAGAGUUGACAGAAACAGGACUUGCUUGCUGGAGUAGCUUAGCUAGUGUUAUUCCUAUGUUGUAGUUUCAUCCGCUCCCCCAAGUAGUUCAUUCUGACUUCAGUGGUGCCCCCCUUUUUCUUCUGGCUUUUGUAUACGUUGCUUGGCGUCUAGUCGUUGCUUGGCCCUCGCAUUCCCGUUCUCUUGUUUAAACCUUCCUAUACAGCUUGGCAUUCUGACUAUCUUUGAUCUAAUUCUCCAAUGUUGUCCCCCGGUCCUGCAAGGUUGUAGUAAAUAGCCUAUAUAGCCUAUAGGAUAUGGUAGGUAUGAUCGAUCCCGUGCACCUAACAAUUCAAUAAGAAACUGGGAUUUCCACUCAUGCUAACAAGACCCAUACUACUCACUGGGAAAUCUGCUACUUACCUCAAAGCUGUCCUACCUAGCUCUUUGAUUCUGUAACUGAUGCCUAUAAGCCUGUUUACAAUAACUCAUAUAUAUAUUCUUAAUAACCCGCCGAUCAGUCACCGAGCAAACUACUAACUACUAUAGGAAUCAAAUAACAACUAACAAGAAUAAACGGUGUGGGCAACCUUCUACUAUAAGACUUUCCUCUGCUAAGGAAGAAUCAAAACAAAGCCAAGGAAGCAAGCUACUCUAUAAGAAGAACAGGCUUACUUUACUUAAUUAAUUAGACUUGAGUCCGACUCCGAGACUCCUUGAUCUCAGGCUUGCUUUUUGUUAGUUAAUUCAUUAUUCUGGGAUAAGGCAUUAAAAGCGGUAGCUGGCUUCUCCGCUGUAGCUCGCUUCUCAUCCUAGUACCAAAGCCUUGUUGACACCAGUCCCAUUCUUCUGUUGACUUGUUUGAUCCCGAUUGACAUUAUUCGAGUUCUGUUAUUAUAUGCGCGCUACGCCCACGGACCUAAUUCUUAUACUGAUUAGCUUCAUUCUGUACAUGCACCGGAUCAUACCAUCAUACCCUAGCACCGGAGCAUACCAUAUGACCCUAUAGGCUAUUGACUCCAACUUGAAAUACACCUAUUCCAUUGACUCCAACUUUACAUACCUAUUGUUUUAGUAUCAGUGAACUAAGGUUGUUUUAGUAUCAGUGAACUAAGGCCCUAUACUACAUUGCUAGUGCACCUAGGUAUAACAAUUAGUAUUAGGGUAGAAUAAAAGCACAGAACUCAAUUAAUUGCUACUGGAAAGAAUCAGACAAAGAAAUAGGGCUUUUGACUAUUACCUACAAGAAUUGAAGCUACCGCUUUUAACAGUAAAACAAAGAAAUAGGACUACUUUAGCUACUGGCCUCGAGUCCCUGUGCUUAUUGGUUGAAACUGAAACUCAGGACUUGACUUCUUAUCGCUACCAACACUAGUCUUAGAUCACUGCUACUACAUCCCUACUCAAAGCGAUGGCACCUUAACACUUAAAGCAUUACUUGACUGACUUUAAAACAAGUACUCUAGUAUACAUUACUUGCCUAUUUCUUACUAUGCAAUCCAACGAGCGCUUCCAAUCUAAUGAAGAAUCCCACAACAGCAGAUAAGAAUACGACUUACAGCCUAUGAGCCUUAUCUUACUUGCUUCGACUCUAAUACCCUGGGCACUUUCUCUAUAUCUCCUUUUGCUCUAACUCCCUUAUUGCCCCUUGCACCCGGGCUUGUUAAGCUAAAGAAUCGAAUUGGCACCGAUAAUACUACCACAACAAUACUGGAUUUCUUUCUUUCCUCCCCGCUCGUACCUUAUCAAACAAACCCUAGCUACCCCAAAGCAGGGCUCUACGAAACAGAAAGUAUCAUGGCUUUCAGCUCCUUCCUUGAAAAUGGAACUUGUAUCUGUCUUUUAAGGAUCAAUAAUGGCAACAAGUAAAGCGGCAAAUCCUUCUCCAAACUCACGUCUGAACUGACUCGCCGACGCACAACAUAAGAAAGAAUGGAAUAUGAUCUGUGCUUUGCCUGAUGAUUUACAGCUUGACCUUUGCUUUGUUAGUGCUUCUGUAAUGGACUUUUCCUUUGCCUGAGACAGCUUUCCCGAGUAGCUCGCCUUCUUCUUCUCUUAUUGGGUCCUAUCCUUACCCUAUCAAUUCUUCUUUGAUCUACUUCCGGAGGGAAAUCAAUCAGUAUCAAGAAAGCUCUAUCUCUAUAAGCGGGGGAAUGAAAUCAUCUGAACUAAACAAGCAACGGCAAAAGCUACGGAAUAAACAAGCUACGGAACAAGCUACGUAACAAGCUCCGGAACAAACUACUAUUAAUGGAUAGCUAACGGAGAACAAGGCAAUAAUGAAUGAGUCUAGGAUAGGGUUUAGCUGCCAAUAAAGAGCAUUUUCAGAAACUUCAACAAGCAAGAGUAUCAUAGAUGAGCGGUUAAACAAGCGAGUAUCAUAGAUGAGCAAGCAGAUAAUGUGAAUCUAUUAGAUCAUAUGCGAGAUAGAUAAAAUUGGGUAGCUUCCAACUCUCCCGUCUUUCUUCUUGUAAUGGUGGCUUUUGACGAACAGUUGGCUUUAGUUCAUUAUAUCGUAAUUCCUUAAGUAAAGUAAGUAAUUCAUUAUAAGUGGGUGGAGUAACUAACUGUGCCGAUAUUAGUUAUUCAAGCUUUCUUUCUUUUAUUUCACCAGCAAACUCAAGCUGAAAAGAGAAAACCUCAUUGAAGCUUAUGAACGAACCGAACCCAUCUUCCAAAUUGCUAACUAAAGCUUGACAUCACCCUCCAAUAGUUAAGAUAAUAGAAUCUUUCUAGAGAAUUGAAUAUUUACAUCUAUUGAUAGAUAAUAUAAUAUUGACAUCUAUACUGAACCGAGACCUUAACCUCUGCUAAAUCUCUUGGUUUGGUUCGGUUGUCCUCUUUGCUAGCCGGAGUAUACCACUAGUGAAAAACCCUUUGAAGAGACAAGGGAUCGAUGUCGCUAGGCGAGGUCAACUCUAUCAUUGUUCUCCCUUAAUCAAUAUAUAAAUAAGCAAGGCAAGUUGGGCUACAACUAUCCCGAUGCAGCAAAGAAAGCUAGGUCGUGCUCUUAUCGCGGGGAAAGGGUCGACUCCGAAAGAUCAGAGAAAGAACAAGAACCACAUUUGAUCCACACUUAUAGCUAAGAGCGGCUUUUUGAGCUACUAUACUGGCGCUCUCAACGUCGCGCAGCUUUUUCAUCUUAGUAAUCCAUACUCUCGGGGACCUGGGGCAACCAAUAAGAAAGACUCUAUCAUUUAAUGGUAGUUGAGUGAAGAAUGAACAAGUAACGGCUUGCAGCAACAAACAAUGGAACAAGCUACUGUGCAAGUACAAACAAUGAGGCUACUAAGCUUUGGAGUGUGCUGUUAGUGAGCUCUCAGGGCAGUAAAGGCGUUGCGAAAGACAGAGUCGUCUUGAAAAUCGAGUAUUUGAAUCCCUUGAAGAGAUUGUGUUUCAAUACAAUAAAUGCCGAUUCUGAGAAAAAGCUGUAAGCAAAGCAGUGUUUUGAAUCCCUGGUUCAUCGCAUUUCGCCUGCUUUGAUUAGGACUUUUUUGCCAGGUUCUUUCACAGUUAACAAACAACCAUUGAAUCCUGAAGUGACGGAACUACCAAUCCCAAUCAAAGGUCCUACUCCUAUUGACCUUGUAGCAGAUUCGAUAACGGAAUUAGUGCUCUAACAGAAGAGACUUGCUUAGGUCACACCUUGAUCUUAUCCUCCGAGUGCCAAGCUAACUUUAACUAGGAUUCGUUCACAGAGAAAGAUUCGGUUCUUCCUUCUUUUGAUCUUAUCCCGCAACUGCCCCUAGGAAAGAAAAGAGAAAUCCCAGUCUUUAUCAGGUCCGGAUCAGGGAACUCCUCUUUCUAUGCUAAUAGUUUAGUCCUACCUAACUUUAUGUUGAUUGAUACUCGAGAGUAAGGUCAAAAAACAAAGAGUAAGCAAUCGAAGACCUAUUCAUUCUAAUGCCCACUUAUCUAAUCUAAGUUAAGUUCAUUUCGGAUUCAAUCGAUUCUUCCCACCCAUGUGUAGCCUAUGCGAAGCAAGCCAAGACUGGGCUCACAUAUAUCCUAUUCCUCUUAUUGCUGGCAGAUUAUAUAAACUAUUGAUUUGAUUAUAUAAACUAUUGAUUUAUAAACUAAACAUAAGGCAGAGAUAUAGAAAUGUGGGAAUCGUGGAAAAUGAUGUCACAUCACAGCACCUCCCCUCGCUCCACUAGCUAGGUAACUCCUUUUCUAAGCUAAGAAAGCAGCAAAUCAGCGCAAAUAGGCUCUCCUAUCAUUCCCUCCACUUUCUCUUAUAUAGUAAGUAUGGAAUAUAGUCAGUAUGGAAAGUGCUCUUAUAUAGUUAGUAUUGCAAGUAGUCAAGAUGCCAGUGCCUAUGAUAUUGCCCUUCCUUCUCUUGUGCCGGGCGUGUGAAUCUGGAACCAAAGGACUACUUCUCGUGAUGAGCUAUUUUCAGGAAUCUUUCGCCUUCGAAUUUCUUUCAUCACCCUUUUGAUUAGUUUGAACAAGAGAAACUUAUUAGUUUGAACAAGAGAAACCGCGAACAGCUCUUUGCCUUUCUGCUUCAAAGAAAGAGGUGGGGAGAACCAUCAGUUUGGAGCACCCAUAAAGCUGGGGAAAUGCCUUUUAUGAGCCGCCUACCCUACCUAUACGCAACUCUCUCUCAUUGAUUAAGCCUGCCUGCCUGUGAGCCAUAAGAUGAGUUCUGGUCCAAGAGAUAGGACCCACGGUUAUUGAACUUACGUUCCCCGGUUCGGUUAAGCCCGUUAGUAGGGGCGAGCGAGAGCUGAUUUCGCUUUGAAUCCAACUCUGAUCUUAAUGCACCCGAAAAGAAAAACCAUAGGAAUUGCUGAACCAUCGCUAUCGCUAAAGUAAGGAAGAGUUGAGUUAACGAAAGGCCAUGGGGAUAUCGUUGACUCACUUGAACCUGUUGGCUUUAGUUUCCUUAUAUAUGAAAGCGGGAGUAAAGCAAGGAAUUUCUGCCAUAGACAGCGCAGCAAGUGAAUCAGAUGUCGGACUUCUCUCUCGAGAGAUGAGGCGAAUUGAUAGACCAAUGGGGGGCCAAGCAACAGCCUGUAAUGCCUAAGCACCAGCCUAAGUAUACCCAGCAGCAGGCUUAGAUUAUUACUUGCUUCAUUGUCCUGUGCCACUCGGAAUACAGAUUACUUAAUGCGCGUUUCACCUCAUAGGGAAGAAUCGAACAGGUGUUUAUGCGGGCGUCAUAGGGCAGCUAGGGUGAUGUUUCAUUCUGUAUUUCCUUACAGAGUAGCCGGCUACAUCCCGAGUUCAAUCCGUUAUUGAAUCAGUUCGCGGAAGGUAGAAAACGGAAUACAGUUAUUCAAGAAGAAAGUAAGAAGGACAAUAGGCACUGUUAUCUACUACUGGAUCAAGACUAACUUACCAAGACAAACUUCCCAGGCUUAUGGUCUUGCUUCCUUGUCAGUGGAAUUAGUAUUUGUUAACUACGGCGAAAUUGGUACUCCCCAGUCUUGUGUUUUACAGUUAUCAUAUCUUUAUUACUUGCUAUGUGUUCGGCCAUCAAUUGUUCAUCGAUUGUUAUAAUGAAAUGGCAUCUCCUUAGAAGAGGGAUGGAUCUUGGGCAUUCCAUUCUUUUAAGAGUGGGAGACUCAGAGGAUAGGUCAAUACCAGAGAAGAGAGAGGCAAGGGAUACUUUAUUACUUAGUGCAGGACCGCUAGUCAAUCAAUGUGAUGCGCCAUAUCCAUAUAUUAUUAUUAAUGCACCUUAACCUUUUAUAGCUUCUGUAGUGAGUGACGAUCAGAUUGCCCCAUUUCAUCUUUAAUAACAGAAUGAGGCUCCUGUCUCUAUAAGUAUUAGAUAGUAUAGGAAGUGGGCCCUUAUAAUAAUUGCUAGCGCAUUCCCUUAUCUAAUCUAUUAAUUCCACUUAGAGGUCUUAGACAGCCCCUAAAGAUAGAGAGAGUAGCUACCCCUCCGCUCUUAUCCUAACCAAGUAGUCAACAAAUAAUUCAUUGGAUCUUCUCUUCUCUGCGACAAACACUCGAAAGAAACUCGUAUUCAUUUCUGGUGUUGGGCAAGAAGGAGAUUCGAGAGUCAAUUCGGCUUCUUUUCUUAAGCGAAUCCAGUUUUCGGGCCCAGACUCUGUGGUGGCGGCGUCAAGGAAAGUUUCAGAAUGAAAUAUAGUCGCUGAAAGUGAGAUUUUACAGGUACUCUUUGUUAUACGAGCCCCUUGCACCUAAGCAUUCAGUCUUAUCUUAUUCUUUAACAAGUAGUAGUCCAGGCAACUACUAGACUCGCAACGGGACAAGCCACUACGGAUGAAGAUAAGAAGUUUAUUACUUAUACUGAUAGGACAGGCCCAGACUAGAUAGGACUGGCCCAUACUCAGUGGCUAAAGCGAGGCGCGUCAGGGAGCUCAAUAGGAACUCUAAAGUCUUGUUCAAGUGAUAGGGCUGGGCGACAGAAUAGAGGUUAGUGCGGAGAGACAGUAUAGUUCGGAAAUGCAAAAGGGGCAGAACUCGCAUUAGCAUCAAUGGCGAAGUAUCAACUUAUCUAACUGUGCUGUGCUGCUGUGCCGAUAUGAGUAAUUAAAGGAAGGAAUGAGAAUGAGAGAAAGAAGCUUGUGUUAAGCUUAAUUAAAGGAAGAGCAAUGCUGUGAGUUGAGAUAAAAAGCAAGGGUAGUGUUCACAAGAUCUAUAAUUUCUAUCUUAUAUAGAUGGGAGAACGGAUUCCACAUUCUAUCUAAUUACAAUUCCACUCACACUCUUGCCUCCUACCUCUCCACUUAUUAGAGGUUAAGGGUUUACAAGGGAAGCAGCGUACUUAAGAAUAGGGCUGAAGGAGAGGCUAGUGUACUCAUGACGGAUAUUCUUUUUCAUAGCUUCCCUUAUUCCUAUAUAAAGAGAAAGAUUGCAUUUAGUAGGUGCCAAGCGACUACUAGACAAGUAGACAACCAACCACUUUGCUGCUUUAGAGCCCUAUAGGUUAGCGCUAGAUGUAGUACCUAAUUCCAAUAUGACAACUUGUUCUAUUAAUGUCCGUAUUCCAUUCUUCUACUUACUUGUUUGAUUCUCACUUUCCCACUUGUUAGUUCAAUUCAGUAUCUGUUCUGUUGCCAGCAGGGUUCAAUGAUGAGUUGCG